rnacentral:lncRNA from 1 species
UUUCACUGUUGCUAGUCCCCCCCUUUAUUCCAUCUGAUUCAAAAUUAAAUUUUAAAAUAAAGUCUAAUAAAUGAUUCCUUCAAACAGUAAAACUAAAAUGUUAACAAUGUUCUAUAAUUCCCCCUGAUCUUUUUCAUGUUGAACUCAACAUUAUUGAAACUCCAAAAAUUCCCCUAGAAAAUCAAACCGUGUCCCAACAGCACUUAAUUGAACCAUUUAAAUACUAACCUAAUUUGAGUAAAUUCAAAUAGGCUCCAAAGUUUUGUGGCAAUACUAGAUUUUGCCUAGUAAUUAUUCUAGCCAUUAGAUUUUUUUGCAAAAAGUCAAUUAGCGCAUGAUUUAAAUGUAAAACAAAAUAAAAAUAAGAGAGAAAACAAAGAGAAAGCCCCUCCCGUCCCCCUGGAUCACUUUUCCCAACUAACUAAAAGAGCCCAACCCAACCCACACCUCCACUCAUCCCUCUCCUCAUGCUACAGGAGCAGGGAGCCGUGGCGGGCAUCCAUGGCGCCCUGGCCAGGUGUCGGCCAUCCCGCGCCCCCCUGAAGGAUAAGAGCCCCCCUCUCAUGCGCUGGAAACCCUAGACCCCAUUUUCCCUCUUCCUCCCUCCCCCGAACCCUAGCGUGCCACUCAUCUUCCCCCCUCGUCCAGAUCUCCUCAUCCCGAGCACCUCCAUCAUCAUUCGUUGCCCACCACAGCGACAACCGGUGCCCCCGUUCCCACCCAUCCGGUCCAAUGGAACCGCCGCGGUCGUCCACGUCAACCUUGCCCACUGGAUCAAGCCGGGACAGCCCCGCGGCUCCGUCCUGACCUCGUCUUCGACCUCGGUGCCUGGAGCUCGCCACCGUUGAUCCACUCCACCCUGACCCCUUCUGGAUUCCCGUGCAGCUCCUAAACUUCACACAGAGCCUUCUUGUGCUCCUCGGUGAGCUCUCCUCCCGUUCUUCCCUAUUCCCCCUCGAAUCCCCGUCAGACCCUCACCGCUCGCUAACCGCGGCCACCGCGACCACGCCCACCUCGCGCUUGCGCCCGACCCCGACUGCCUCGUGCCAUCCUCGCGGCGCCAUCUGCUGAUGCUCGAACGCGUCCGCGCUAAGCAAGCUACUGCCGCUUCUUGCUCUCCCACCAGGCCCCUGCACGUGCAGCUGCCGCACGUGCACCCCGCGCCCAUGCCUCCACCCGCUACCACUUGCAUCGCUGCCGUCCACCUCUGCCGCCCGCUGCUGCUCUGCUCUGCCACACCCGCCUCGUGCCCCGCGCCAUCCGCCACGCCUGGCCCCUGCCCCCCUCGCCGCGCAUGCACGCAUGCCCGCGCCAUGGCCUCGCCCUGGCCAACCACCUGCUGCCUCGCUCGCGCUUGCAGCUGCCCGAUGCGGCACGCGAUGGCCUCGCACCAGCCUCCCUCUGCCUCCGUUGCACCGCCUCGCAAACCGCCGCAACUCGACGGCCCCGCCGCUCACUGGCUACCCUGCCCCGUGCGGUCCCCUGCCCCGCUCGCCUCCCACCUUGCUUCUGGCCCGCGUGCCCUGCACCGCCGCUGGCCGCCCGCUGACUCGCCAUUGCAACGGACGCCGCGGCCCCGCGUGUUGGUCACGCCCAGUUCUGCCCUGGCCGGCGCCCUCACCCACUGACUCGCGCACGUUAACACCCGCCUCGGCUGUGGCCUUUGUGCCACCGACUGUGGGGCCCCACGCCCCUUGAAAAAAAGAACUAAAAGAAAAUAACUAAAAUAAUAAUUAAUUAACUUAAUUAAUUAAUUCUAUUAUGUUAACCCUAAUAACUUGGUUAGUUAAUUACAGUCUGUUUAAUUAAACUAUGACAAUGAUAGUGGGCCCUGGUUGUCAGUUUGACCAAGUCAAUUGCUCUGUUGACUGCUGACGUCAUGAUGAUGUCAUGCUGAUGUAAUCCCAUUUUAGAUUUAAUAAUAAUUUUAGAAGUUGCUAAAACUUUAGAAAUUCGUAGAAAAUAAUCCGUAACUCGGAUGAAAAUGUUUGAUACAUGAAAGUUGCUCAGAAAGGCGAGACGAAUCCGGAUAUGCCCUUGGUUAGUCUGUCACACGUCCCUAGCAUAGCGAACAUGCAACCGCCCCCCUCCGAUUCAUCUGUUCGAAAAUGCCAAACUUAGGGAAAACUUUCCCGGAUGUUAUCCCCCUUCGCCGAUAUCAUGUAACACUGCGUUAGAACACCCCUAGCUCUACAUGUACUCAUGUCAUGCAUAUGAGUGCUUUGUAUCUACUAUUUAUUCCCACUCUUAUUCUCCGGUAGACCCCGAGACUGUUGCUAAUGCCACUGUGGUCGACUAUGUCACCGACGACCCUCCUUCCCUUUAAGUAGAGCUUCUAGGCAAGCAACCCCCCCUCGAUCAUUCCGAUAUCGCCCAUUCCAUUCUCUCUUAUGCCUGCAUUAGAUUUUGCUACUGUUAUUGAUUGCUCCUAUUCUGAUGCAUAGCUUGCUUUUGUAACCUGCUAUUGUACCUUACCUUAUUCUAAACUGCUUAGUAUAGGUUGGUUAGUGACCCAUCAGUGACCCCCCACCUUGUCCUUGUCGCCCAUGCUUCAUCAUCGACGACUCGAUCAACGUGAUCGACGACCAGAGCCGAUACCUCACAUCACAUCAUGCCCCUUUUGUUGCUUGAUUCUGCAGAGCUACUAUCCAGUGCCGAGGGUGAUACCUCGUAACCCACUCCUGAUGAUAACUCUGUAGUGUAGCUAUUCGGUCGUGGUCAUCGAGGGUGAUUCCUCCUUCACCACUACCCAUACGGCUCUGUCGUGCAACACCUCAAGUGUGAACCUCGAGGGUGAUUCCUCCUAAGUUCAGCUUGACGAUUACAUCGAGUGGAAUCCCUCAAAGGUGAUUCCUCAGGUUUCCCCCUUGAUGUUUUGGACACACGGUUACCCUGACUUUACUUGAGACCAUUGUUAAAUUCGGUCGGCCCUGAGGGAUAAUUACGUGGCACGGCCGGGCAUUCCGGACCCUUGCCGAAAGUCCACGAGGCGGGGUGAUGGGGACACUAAGGUUUGGGUAUUUGUUCUAAGUUGGCCUCUGGCCUUUACGCACUAACCACCACGCGAGAAUAGUUACUGGCAUCGGCGUCAUGGUAUUAGCCGAAGCUUUGUCAGACAUCCAGUUCAGCAUUGCGGCAUGGUCGGAUCACGUUGACCAUCCGUGGUGUGAUAUGUCUCCAUCGUAUCUCUAAUUUUUUAUAGUUUCAUGCCAAUAUUAUACAACUUUCACAUAUUUUGGCAACAUUUUAUAUGAUUUGUUGGACUAACCUAUUGACCCAGUGCCCAGUGCCAGUUCCUAUUUUCUGCAUGUUUUUUGUAUUGUAGAGUAUCCAUAUCAAACAAAGUCCAAAUGCAAUAAAAUUUUAUGGAGAAUUAUUUUGGAAUAUAUGUGAUUUUGGGGAGUUGGAAUCACCGCAAACGGAGGCCCACACAACCCACAAGACACCAGGGCGCCAGAGGCCCCUAGCGCAUGGUGGUGGGUUGUGCCCUCCUCGAACGUUGGUUGGAGCUCUACUUCGGGCGCGAGGAAGCUUAUAUCCGGAAAUAAAUCAUGUUAAAAUGUCAGCGCAAUCGGAGUUACGGAUCUCCCAGAAUAUAAGAAACAGUUUUCAACAAGAUCCGGGGAACGCAAAACAGAAGAGAAUAGAGAGGGAGAUCCAAUCUCGGUGGGGCUCCUGCCCCUCCGCCGCCAUGGAGGCCAUGGACAAGAGGGGAACUCUGCUCCAAUCUAGGGGGAGGCCAAGGAAGAAGAAGAAGGAGGGGGGCUCUCUCCCCCUCGCUUCCAGUGGCGCCAGAGUGCCGCCGGGGCAACGAUCGUGACGGCGAUCUACAUCAAUAAUCUUGCUACCGUCAACACCAACUUUCUCCCCCACUGUGCAACGGUGUAACACCUUUUCUCCCUGCUGUAAUCACUACUUAAACAUGGUGCUCAACUCCAUAUAUUAUUUCCCAAUUAUCUAUGGUUAUCCUAUGAUGUUUGAGUAGAUCCUUUUUGUCCAGUGGGUUAAUCGUGAUCUUGGUUGGUAUGAUUGUAUAUUUUAUUUAUGGUACUGUCCUACGGGGCCCUCUAUUCUCGCGCAAACGUGAGGGCCCCCCACUGUAGGGUGUUGCAAUAUGCUCAUGGUUUGCUUAUGGCAGGUUGCGAGAGUGACAGAAGCUUAAACCCGAGUAGGUGGGCCAUGGCAUAUGGGAUAAAGAGGACUUGAUACUUAAUGAGAUGGUUGGGUUUCAUGACCUUAAUGAUCUUUAGUAGUUGCAGAUGCUUGCUAGAGUUCCAAUCAUAAGUGCAUAUGAUCCAAGUAGAGAAAGUAUGUUAGCUCAUGCCUCUCCCUCAUGUAAAAUUGCAAGAAUGAUUACCGGUACUUGUUAUCGAUUGCUUAGGGACAAAUAACUUUCUUGUUGACACAAACCCUUUUUCUAAACACCUAAAUUUUAUUAUCUUGCAAAGUACUUAUAGUUUUAUUCUUGCAAACUAGUUCUAGCAUCACACCAACAAAAUAGUUUCAUACUUGUUUCUGAUAAAGGAAACGUGAAGUGUGGGUAGAGUUGUAUAGGUGGCCGAUAGAACUUGAGGGAAUAUUUGUUCUGCCUUUAGCUCCUCGUUGGGUUUGACACUCUUAUUUAUCGAAGAAGGUUAAAAACGAUCCCCUAUACUUGUGGGUUAUCAAGACCUUUUUCUGGCGCCGUUGCCGGGGAGCAACAGAAUGGGGUGAAUAUUCUCGUGUGUGCUUGUUUGCUUUAUCACUAAGUAAUGUUUUUGUGCUCUUGUUUUCUAUCUCUAGUUAUGGGUAGUGUCAGGACCCCGACUCGAUGUCACAUCGGUCUAGCCGGUAACACCUCAUAUCACUUUGCGGCCUCACGCACGGUAUCCCCACGGGUGUCGUCUUACCUUUUCCCGGGACCGUUUGCGCCUUUUGGCUCACGUAUAUGAUAGUGUCGCUAGCAUCCAUAUGAUAAGGAGCCCGGGCUGACAUGACUAGUCGUAAACCCAAAGUGGCACAGACUUACAGGGACAGGCAUCCAUGACCCAGCUUCGAACGUGUCGGUCAUCAGCAAGUGGGUCCGGGCUGUAGCAUUGGGCUAACAGGACUCCGGUAAACCGGGCUGUAGCGGGCUAACAGGACUCCGGUAUUCAUCGCGUGACAUUUCCCCGAAGGGACAGACACAGGAACGAAGAAGGACACAUGCCGGCCAGCCUAAGUGUUCCAGAGCAGUAGCAAGCUACCAUGGCUCAGCGGUAACACUAGGAGACAUUUCCCGGUAAGAGAGGCUACUAAAGAUAAACAACUAGAUAGUCAGAUCCCACACAUACCAAGCAUUUCAAUCAUACACACAAUAUGCUCGAUAUGUGCAAAUACAACGAAGCAUCACAACAUGACUCUACGACACAAGUACUUUAUUCAUUAGGCUCCGAGGAGCGAGAUAUUACAAACAUGGGUCUCAUGACCCAACACUCAGAGCAUACAAGUCAAAGCACAAGCGGAAACUAUCAUGUCUGAGUACAGACGUCUAUAAAUGAAAAAGGCUGAAAAGCCUGACUAUCUAUCAGAUCCUGCCGAGGGCACAAGAUCGUAGCUGAGGUAACAAGCUAAACGUCGAAGUCCACGCGGAACUACUAGCGAGACCGAAGUCUCUCUGCAAAAACAUAAAAUAGGCAAACGUGAGUACAAAUGUACCCAACAAGACUUACAUCAGAACUAACUACAUAUGCAUCAUUAUCAACAAAGGGGAUGGUGGGGUUUAACUGCAGCAAGCCAGCUUUGACUCGGUGGCUAUCCUAAACUACGACUGCAAUGUAACUCUUUUGAGGUGGCGCACACGAGUCCACAUAUUCACCAUAUCAAUACACCACUAUGGAUCCGCUCUCGUUCCCCUACGAGAACGCCAUCCAUAGCACUCACGCUUAUCUUGCGUAUUUUAGAGUAUCCACUUUCACUUGUCUAUUUUUAGAGUAUAAGCAACCCAGAAGUCCUUUUCCGCGGACACGGCUAUUCGAAUAGAUGAUGUUAACCCUGCAGGGGUGUACUUCUUCAUACAUGUUUCCACCACUUAGCGUCUGCACACGACAUGUGCUCGGCAGACUUCAAGCGAAAGCCGACGUGGGUGUAGACCACGACCUACCUAAACACUCAAGUCUCUAGUCCAGGUUUAUCGCCUAUUCGGGUUCCAUCCAUGAGGAGAUCCGGCCGGAGUUUCGCUCACAGCCCCAAACGAUGUGAACAGGGUUCCCGAGAUACCAAAUGGGCAUCCGGUACACCGUGCCACGUACCUACCGCAUCACAGCCCACCCCUACGGUCAGCGCUGUCCACGGCCUCCAGUAAGCUACAAACACCAGAAACUACUUGCAACUCCUGGACAGAGAGCUAGGGUGAAUAAGAAGUCGAGCGGGGUCAUAUUUCAGGGCCCAAUGUAUGGUAGUAACUGAAUCAUGGAUCACAAACACAGAACUCAGUUCCUGAGGACGGCUGCAAUGAGACAACCCACCAUGUACUCCUACAUGGCCUCUCACCGCUACCUUUACCAAAUCGUGUUCACACACUUAGCUCACACACAGUAGGACAUGUUCACACACCUCUGAUUCAUCCCCGAUGAAUCAGACCUGACUCAACUCUAAGCAGUAGCAGGCAUGACAAACAAGCAUGAAUGAGUAGGCACAACAGGGCUCAAACAACUCCUACUCAUGCUAGUGGGUUUCAUCUAUUUACUCUGGCAAUGACAGGUUAUGCAAAGGAUAAAGGGGUUCAACUACUGCAGCAUGUAACAAUUGAAUCGGUGUUGUCCUAAUGCAAUAAAAAAGAGCAGGAGCGAGAGAGUAGGAUUGUAUCGGAAUGAACAAGGGGGUUUUGCUUGCCUGGCACUUCUGAAGAUAACAUUGAGUCUUCAUCAGUGUCAACGAUCACAUCAUCGGUAUCACGUCUAUCGAGAGGGGACAAAUACCGGCAACACAGAAAGGAACACAAUCAAUGCAAUGCACAAUAUGAUGCAUGCUCAUGACAUGGCAAUAUGAAUGUGUUUUGAGCUAAUGCAACUAGCAACAGAUUAAGUGAAGUUGGUUUGAAUAUAAGAUUCAAAUUUAAACCCCAUAUGUGAUUAUUCAAAUGCCAUUUAAUUGAUUUGUGCUAAACAGCAGCUAUAAGUUGUUCUAACAUGCAUGAAAAUGGUACAGAUGGAUUCCUUGAAUUUUUCUGAUAAUUUUUCAUAUAUAAAUUAUUUAAUUUGGAGUUACGGUUAAUUUUCUAUGAUUUUUAGAGGUUUUAGCUAUUUUCUGGAUUUUCUGAUUUAUUUUAAAUCCAGAAAAUCAUUUAAUGCGUCAGCAUGACAUCACCUUGACGUCAUCAGGUCAACAGGGCAGGUUCAGGUCAAACCUGACCAGUGGGGUCCACUGGUCAGUGACUGGGGCUGAUUAGUGUCGCUGACAUGUGGGCCCAGUCAACAGCCACGUCAGCUUAGUCAAAGCUGACGCGUGGGGCCACUAGGAUUAGUUAAAAACUAAACAGAAACUAAUCUAGGAUUAAUUAGCAGGUGGGGCCCUGCUGUCAAUGUCACAGGGUUAAUUAGCAGGGUCAAAUCCCGGGUCAGUGGGGUCAAACCCACCGGCGACAUGACGCCGGCGAGGCCAGCCGCGGUGGCGAGCCUCAGGUUUGCGUCUCCGGUGACCAAACGGCCGGCCAAGUGCACGCGCGGGGAGCUGGGGCUCGCCCGCAUCCAGGGAGGCUUACGGCAGCAGCGGAGACGGCCGGAGCUCGCCGGAAACGAGCUCGAGGCGGCGCCGGCGUUUGGUUGUUUCUGGCUACGGGGCUGCUGCGGCCGUGGUAUCGCGUUCGUGGCACCUACAGCAGCUACGCGAGGCAGCGAACAUGUUGGACACGACGCCCGGACCAAAUGGUCGCCGGAGACGUGUCGGCGGUGAGUGCAGGCGGCGACGCAGUCGGGCGAAAGGGGCGAGGCGGCUACGGCGUGCCAGAGAGGAAACGGAGAGGGGGAAAAGGUUCGGUGGCUCACGGCGGUUGCAGCGGACGCCGAAGCAGGCUCGGGGAAGGCCGGACGGCGACGAGUCGAUGAUGGGGAUCCGCGGCGGCCGGCGAUGAAGAAGAGGCCGGUGACGGUGUUUUGAGGCAUCCGGCGUCGAGUGAGUCGACGGGGAGGACGAGGAGGUUGAAACGGAGGCCAUGAACACGUCGGCGAGGCGGGGGAGGGCCUGUGGCCGCGGUGGUUCUAGUCGGCGGCGACGGCUGUGUUCGGGUUCGGGCGAGAGAGAAAGAGCAGAGGGGCGGGGCCUCGAGGAAGAGUGAGAGGGUCCGAGGGGGUGGCGUGGCGUCUCCGGGCGUCGAGGAGGGAGGCAGGGAGGCUGCCACGGCGAAGCAGGAGGUGGCCGGCGCUCUUCGGGCGCGCGCCACGCCUCGCCUCUGCCUACUGGCAGAGGAAGAAGAGGACAAGGNNNNNNNNNNNNNNNNNNNNNNNNNNNNNNNNNNNNNNNNNNNNNNNNNNNNNNNNNNNNNNNNNNNNNNNNNNNNNNNNNNNNNNNNNNNNNNNNNNNNNNNNNNNNNNNNNNNNNNNNNNNNNNNNNNNNNNNNNNNNNNNNNNNNNNNNNNNNNNNNNNNNNNNNNNNNNNNNNNNNNNNNNNNNNNNNNNNNNNNNNNNNNNNNNNNNNNNNNNNNNNNNNNNNNNNNNNNNNNNNNNNNNNNNNNNNNNNNNNNNNNNNNNNNNNNNNNNNNNNNNNNNNNNNNNNNNNNNNNNNNNNNNNNNNNNNNNNNNNNNNNNNNNNNNNNNNNNNNNNNNNNNNNNNNNNNNNNNNNNNNNNNNNNNNNNNNNNNNNNNNNNNNNNNNNNNNNNNNNNNNNNNNNUUAUUUUUUUUGUUCUGUUUGUUUUAUUUAAUUUAUUUUGCCACUGUUUUGAAUUAAAAUAAUAAUUCAAACAAUGCCAAAGCUCCUCUGAAUAUUUUAUAUUGCUAGAUGGACUUUUCCAAAAGCUUAUAAAAUAUUUCAGGGGGUAUUUGAAAUUAUAUUCUAAUUAUAUGAAUAUAAUUCAAAUUCAAAUAGCUAAUGAUUUAAAUCCAAAGUCCCAAAAAUAAAUCCUUAAAAAUGUUCAAUAUUUUGGUUGGGACCAGAACCCUUACCAAAAAUUAUCAAACAUUUAAGAAGAGCAUUUUGGAGCAAUGAAUGAGAUUUCUAGGGUUUUUGCCCCUCUUUUAUUUAAGUUUUUUGAGGCUUCCAAUAUUCCUCAAUUCAAGUUUCAGAAUUUAAACAUGAUGCACACAUGAAGCUAGCCUAAAGCAUUACCAGAAGCUAGGGAUGUGACAACUCACCCCCACUAAACAAGAAUCUCGUCUCGAGAUUCAAGCGUAGGGUAGGCUGAAGGGGAAGCGCAAACUAGUAUAAUCUUCACGAUCCAGGGUGCACUUCAGUUGAACGUUGAUUUGAACACCAUCUUUGUCUUGUCGUCUUGCUCUGAGAAAUCCUGUCAACAUGACAGGGGGGGGGGGAAGAAGGAGACUCUAGAAGGGUCGAUCUUCUUGAAGAUCGAACAACUCACGGAAUGAGACAUAGGACCAUCUCUCGGGUUGAGACACGGGAUACACAUCAAGAGGGGUGGAAAGAAACGGAUGACGAAGGUUCACUAGGUAGACAACAAUUCCACACCUAAGAAGGUGGUAAACGAUUGUCAACGUAGCGAGGAGUUGAGUUGCCAUGAUACCACGACGAAACAUCCUAGAGGAGGGUGAUUCGUAGAUUAUUACCUUAAGUGGCAAAAAGAAUUACUUUUGAUUCAGAGAUCAUUGAAACUCUUUAAACCAGCCUAAGACAAUUCUCGAGCGAUCGUUUGGAGGGGGUCGGUAGAAUGGCAUACUCGGACUUGGAUGAUGUGGAUUACCUUGUUGAAGACAACGUAAUGGAUGAAUUUGCUUAUCACCGGUAAUGGAAGAGACCCAUGGUAGAAUGGCACAUUGGCGGUGCAAGCUAGGAACAAAAUGCAAAUGCUGGGAAUGAUUCUGGUAACUGGGGAGGAACCCAACAACAGAGAGUGAAUUCACUGUUUGAAAAGGUCAUAGCAUUGCCGAGGAAACUGAGAGCACUAUACAGUUAAUGUCGACGAUCAAACCUAGCACUUGCGCGUGCUCUCAAGAACUUGAGCAUUUCCAUAAUCAUCAAGAUUUUACCAAUAUCCGUGUCAAGGAUCCUGGCAACACAACUUACUACCAUGAUGAAUACCGGUGGAAGAUGCAGAUGCAAAGGAAGAUAACACUUUCUCAGAUUUCACCCUUGGCGGGGCCAAGGAACAAAAUCUGGAUGAUCGACCGAGAGACAUUUAGCACUCCGCUUUUAAUGUUCUCCUUGAUGUGCUAGUGUAACCCAUUCAUAGAUAUGGUUUGAUAUCUAAAACAUCAAGUAAAAGGUCGGACUUCGGAAACACAAAAAUCCAUAGGGGCAACUAGGGAGUAAACCCUACGAAAUCCCUAUGGGGAGGUGGCCAACUUCAUCAAUCAAGAUAUUAUAAUAAUAGGUCUUCCGGCUGGGUGUGUUGGCCACGACAUCCACUUUACCGGUUAUCACGCGACCAAUAUUAUAAUUCUUGGGAAAUGUUCCAACCAUCAUAUCUGCCUGAGAUUCAGAUCUGGUUGGUGUCAGAAUAUUCCAGGCUCAUCGAGUCUAGGAAGAAAAAUGAAAGUUUGCAACACAAAUCGACGAGAUGACGUUGCGAGAUUCUCGGGAAAUGAACUACGAUAGUAAGCUCCAAAACAUGAGCUGGUUCUGCUACAAACAUGUGAACACGUUGUCCCAGACAAGCAUGACCACGUGGUAGUCUUAUAAUAAAACACUACCGAGUUCAGGAGGGGGAACCAUCAACGAGGGUAUCGAAGUCCUUACAUAAGUCCGGAUUAGCUCUUAUGAAGGAACUCCUUCUCCUUGAACAAUCAAUCAGUGCCUUGGUGUGCUAGGGAUACAUAUAGAUUGAAGGUUGCAAGUCUUCAAACCACAGCAUUCUUCGCACGUGUGGAUGACUGACUUGGGAUGAUUCCAGAGGAAGCAAAACUAACUUUCUCAAAUUCACGGCGGCAACUUUCACCAAAUGCACGUGUAUAAGAGGAAGUCACUCCUUUCAUCAAACAAAUACUUCAUGAGCUAGCAUGAAGAAAAUGCUUCAAAAGUUUCCAACACUAACUUGUUGUCCAACAAGACCAUGGAGGAGAUAAGGAUGUUGUCAAUGGGCUCAACAACAAUUCAUCUAGGUUUCCUUUUAAAAGGAAUUCCAUAGUUAAGUGAACACGGUGAUAGCAUUGGUCAGACCAAAGAUGUAAUGGUGUAUGCUCGAGGGAUCAACCACGAAUAAGACAACAUUACGAGCAUCAUUGGUACUGAUUUGAUUUGACGAUAGCCCACCCUCAAUCAAAGGAUUGAUAAGACAAUAGGUCCAGCAACUGAUCACAGGGACCAAUCGAUGAACAUAUCAUCUUUCUUCAACACACACUACACAAGAUUAUCCCUUUGGAACGAACUAAGUCAGGCAAGCUUUUAUCCUCCAACUCUCCAAGUUGUUGUCUAGCUUAACCAACUAGCUCAGGGAUAUCUAACACCGAUUCUUGGAGAGAAGGUGGUUCACAAGAAACCAACUUGAUCACGAACUCAACAUAGCGGUCAGGUGACAACCCGGUAACACCUCCAAGAAGAUAUUUGGAAAGUCACGAACCACCGGUAUGUUACUAAGCUCGAGAACAAUCUUGCUUUUGAGGGCAAGACGAUAUGAUCAGAUGAGUGAGGACUUGACAAGAUCCUAACUCAUCAAUCGAAGGGUGCACCGAAAUAAGGACUAGGUAGCACGAUCAGUCUUAGAAGGAUGAUUCAAAAACCAACAUACUAAGAAUGAAAUUAUUAUCCUUUAACUACCAAGCAACGAGGUUGCUGGGAGUAUUGAUUUCACACAGCACAAUUCAUUUGUCGGUAUUCCGGUUGCAUCAACACGAAGACCGAGGAAUGACUAAUGACGACAAGAAGUAUCACUGUACCAGGAGUUCAUAGGAUGGGGUGCAAUUCCUAUAACAAUCCCGAUUUAAAGAUGGUAAUACUCCAAGAUAGAGCAGAACAAAAGCUGGAUUAGCAAUUUGUUCUGUGGAGCACAACUUUUUUGACCCAAUCCUAGAUAUGGCAGAGGUACUGGAGUUUGUUUCUCCUAGUCAUUCCGCGAUAGAAUGGCUUGAUGGACCACAAGAGUAAUAGGCAUCGAUAAACGAACGCACACAUACUCUUGACUAUCAAUUGAUAGACGAAGGUCAGUAGACAACUAAAGAGGGACAACUCAAAGGAACAUAUAAUUUUCUGAGUUGUGGAUGCAUAGAUUAGUAUGUCGAGCGAGAUCAACAUUUCUUCCAGAUAACCCAUGCAGAGAGGUAGGACUGGCAGAGUCAUAACAUAUAAUGGAGAACUCAUCAAGAGCACUCUGGUUGUGAUCGUUCAGUUCAACGAGGAACUUCUGCCAUAAGUAGUUCAUGGUAUUUGGAAGAAGGAUGUACCACGAACCUCGAGGACUAUCGCAAAGGUUACUAAUAUCCUAAAGGCACUAGCAAUUACUAUCAACAUGAAGUGGGUAGAGUGAAUCUCGGGUUCAGAACCCAGGAGUAGAAUACCUACUACUAAGUAGCAUCACGGGAUGCUUUCGAGAAUAAAAACCAGAAUCAUCACACUGGGGAUCACAAAACAUUGCUAGAUUACUAGGUGACUCCCUAAACACCUAGGGCCAUAAUAGUAACUCCAACAUAAUGUCAAGGCAAUAGAAUACCUCAACUCAACAAUUAGUGUGAUUGAGCUGGCAUAAAGGAGCAUCGAAACCAGAGGAAAAGGAUUUUGCAAAUGCAUCAGACUAUUUAGAAACCUGGAAUGACUUGGACAACAUAACGGCUGUAAAUGCUCAGAAGAGAUUUGAGACAUUCACAAAAAUGGUGGCAUAACCACUCAGAAGCACAAUAUCAAGGUUUCGAGAUCAACAGUUAACAUACAGAAGAUAGUAGGAACUGAACUGAGGCUUGAACCCAACAAUCUUAUAAGUCUACUGAUUAGUAACACGUGAUCCUGAUGGAAAGAAGAGAUAGCCUAGUUCUUAAUCCCCGCAGGAAGAUAAGAUGACUCAGAUCAGAAGGGCAUGAGGUAUAAGGAGUAAAAAGAGCCUUACGUUCCAUCCCACAAUCAAUUCCCUUAUAUAACUAAAGAAUUUCUAGACUCCACUUCGACCAGUUUGGCUUGGUAAUCCUACAGGCAGUCAAGCUCUGAUACCAACGCUGUCAGGACCCCGACUCGAUGUCACAUCGGUCUAGCCGGUAACACCUCAUAUCACUUUGCGGCCUCACGCACGGUAUCCCCACGGGUGUCGUCUUACCUUUUCCCGGGACCGUUUGCGCCUUUUGGCUCACGUAUAUGAUAGUGUCGCUAGCAUCCAUAUGAUAAGGAGCCCGGGCUGACAUGACUAGUCGUAAACCCAAAGUGGCACAGACUUACAGGGACAGGCAUCCAUGACCCAGCUUCGAACGUGCCCGGGCUGACAUGACUAGUCGUAAACCCAAAGUGGCACAGACUUACAGGGACAGGCAUCCAUGACCCAGCUUCGAACGUGUCGGUCAUCAGCAAGUGGGUCCGGGCUGUAGCACUGGGCUAACAGGACUCCGGUAAACCGGGCUGUAGCGGGCUAACAGGACUCCGGUAUUCAUCGCGUGACAUUUCCCCGAAGGGACAGACACAGGAACGAAGAAGGACACAUGCCGGCCAGCCUAAGUGUUCCAGAGCAGUAGCAAGCUACCAUGGCUCAGCGGUAACACUAGGAGACAUUUCCCGGUAAGAGAGGCUACUAAAGAUAAACAACUAGAUAGUCAGAUCCCACACAUACCAAGCAUUUCAAUCAUACACACAAUAUGCUCGAUAUGUGCAAAUACAACGAAGCAUCACAACAUGACUCUACGACACAAGUACUUUAUUCAUUAGGCUCCGAGGAGCGAGAUAUUACAAACAUGGGUCUCAUGACCCAACACUCAGAGCAUACAAGUCAAAGCACAAGCGGAAACUAUCAUGUCUGAGUAUAGACGUCUAUAAAUGAAAAAGGCUGAAAAGCCUGACUAUCUAUCAGAUCCUGCCGAGGGCACAAGAUCGUAGCUGAGGUAACAAGCUAAACGUCGAAGUCCACGCGGAACUACUAGCGAGACCGAAGUCUCUCUGCAAAAACAUAAAAUAGGCAAACGUGAGUACAAAUGUACCCAGCAAGACUUACAUCAGAACUAACUACAUAUGCAUCAUUAUCAACAAAGGGGAUGGUGGGGUUUAACUGCAGCAAGCCAGCUUUGACUCGGUGGCUAUCCUAAACUACGACUGCAAUGUAACUCUUUUGAGGUGGCGCACACGAGUCCACAUAUUCACCAUAUCAAUACACCACUAUGGAUCCGCUCUCGUUCCCCUACGAGAACGCCAUCCAUAGCACUCACGCUUAUCUUGCGUAUUUUAGAGUAUCCACUUUCACUUGUCUAUGAACUGAUAUAAGCAACCCAGAAGUCCUUUUCCGCGGACACGGCUAUUCGAAUAGAUGAUGUUAACCCUGCAGGGGUGUACUUCUUCAUACAUGUUUCCACCACUUAGCGUCUGCACACGACAUGUGCUCGGCAGACUUCAAGCGAAAGCCGACGUGGGUGUAGACCACGACCUACCUAAACACUCAAGUCUCUAGUCCAGGUUUAUCGCCUAUUCGGGUUCCAUCCAUGAGGAGAUCCGGCCGGAGUUUCGCUCACAGCCCCAAACGAUGUGAACAGGGUUCCCGAGAUACCAAACGGGCAUCCGGUACACCAUGCCACGUACCUACCGCAUCACAGCCCACCCCUACGGUCAGCGCUGUCCACGGCCUCCAGUAAGCUACAAACACCAGAAACUACUUGCAACUCCUGGACAGAGAGCUAGGGUGAAUAAGAAGUCGAGCAGGGUCGUAUUUCAGGGCCCAAUGUAUGGUAGUAACUGAAUCAUGGAUCACAAACACAGAACUCAGUUCCUGAGGACGGCUGCAAUGAGACAACCCACCAUGUACUCCUACAUGGCCUCUCACCGCUACCUUUACCAAAUCGUGUUCACACACUUAGCUCACACACAGUAGGACAUGUUCACACACCUCUGAUUCAUCCCCGAUGAAUCAGACCUGACUCAACUCUAAGCAGUAGCAGGCAUGACAAACAAGCAUGAAUGAGUAGGCACAACAGGGCUCAAACAACUCCUACUCAUGCUAGUGGGUUUCAUCUAUUUACUGUGGCAAUGACAGGUUAUGCAAAGGAUAAAGGGGUUCAACUACCGCAGCAUGUAACAGUUGAAUCGGUGUUGUCCUAAUGCAGUAAAAAAGAGCAGGAGCGAGAGAGUAGGAUUGUAUCGGAAUGAACAAGGGGGUUUUGCUUGCCUGGCACUUCUGAAGAUAACAUUGAGUCUUCAUCAGUGUCAAUGAUCACAUCAUCGGUAUCACGUCUAUCGAGAGGGGACAAAUACCGGCAACACAGAAAGGAACACAAUCAAUGCAAUGCACAAUAUGAUGCAUGCUCAUGACAUGGCAAUAUGAAUGUGUUUUGAGCUAAUGCAACUAGCAACAGAUUAAAUGAAGUUGGUUUGAAUAUAAGAUUCAAAUUUAAACCCCAUAUGUGAUUAUUCAAAUGCCAUUUAAUUGAUUUGUGCUAAACAGCAGCUAUAAGUUGUUCUAACAUGCAUGAAAAUGGUACAGAUGGAUUCCUUGAAUUUUUCUGAUAAUUUUUCAUAUAUAAAUUAUUUAAUUUGGAGUUACGGUUAAUUUUCUAUGAUUUUUAGAGGUUUUAGCUAUUUUCUGGAUUUUCUGAUUUAUUUUAAAUCCAGAAAAUCAUUUAAUGCGUCAGCAUGACAUCACCUUGACGUCAUCAGGUCAACAGGGCAGGUUCAGGUCAAACCUGACCAGUGGGGUCCACUGGUCAGUGACUGGGGCUGAUUAGUGUCGCUGACAUGUGGGCCCAGUCAACAGCCACGUCAGCUUAGUCAAAGCUGACGCGUGGGGCCACUAGGAUUAGUUAAAAACUAAACAGAAACUAAUCUAGGAUUAAUUAGCAGGUGGGGCCCUGCUGUCAGUGUCACAGGGUUAAUUAGCAGGGUCAAACCCUGGGUCAGUGGGGUCAAACCCACCGGCGACAUGACGCCGGCGAGGCCAGCCGCGGUGGCGAGCCUCGGGUUUGCGUCUCCGGUGACCAAACGGCCGGCCAAGUGCACGCGCGGGGAGCUGGGGCUCGCCCGCAUCCAGGGAGGCUUGCGGCAGCAGCGGGGACGGCCGGAGCUCGCCGGAAACGAGCUCGAGGCGGCGCCGGCGUUCGGUUGUUUCUGGCUACGGGGCUGCUGCGGCCGUGGUAUCGCGUUCGUGGCACCUACAGCAGCUACGCGAGGCAGCGAACAUGUUGGACAUGACGCCCGGACCAAAUGGUCGCCGGAGACGUGUCGGCGGUGAGUGCAGGCGGCGACGCAGUCGGGCGAAAGGGGCGAGGCGGCUACGGCGUGCCAGAGAGGAAACGGAGAGGGGGAAAAGGUUCGGUGGCUCACGGCGGUUGCAGCGGACGCCGAAGCAGGCUCGGGGAAGGCCGGACGGCGACGAGUCGAUGAUGGGGAUCCGCGGCGGCCGGCGAUGAAGAAGAGGCCGGUGACGGUGUUUUGAGGCAUCCGGCGUCGAGUGAGUCGAUGGGGAGGACGAGGAGGUUGAAACGGAGGCCAUGAACACGUCGGCGAGGCGGGGGAGGGCCUGUGGCCGCGGUGGUUCUAGUCGGCGGCGACGGCUGUGUUCGGGUUCGGGCGAGAGAGAAAGAGCAGAGGGGCGGGGCCUCGAGGAAGAGUGAGAGGGUCCGAGGGGGUGGCGUGGCGUCUCCGGGCGUCGAGGAGGGAGGCAGGGAGGCUGCCACGGCGAAGCAGGAGGUGGCCGGCGCUCUUCGGGCGCGCGCCACGCCUCGCCUCUGCCUACUGGCAGAGGAAGAAGAGGACAAGGNNNNNNNNNNNNNNNNNNNNNNNNNNNNNNNNNNNNNNNNNNNNNNNNNNNNNNNNNNNNNNNNNNNNNNNNNNNNNNNNNNNNNNNNNNNNNNNNNNNNNNNNNNNNNNNNNNNNNNNNNNNNNNNNNNNNNNNNNNNNNNNNNNNNNNNNNNNNNNNNNNNNNNNNNNNNNNNNNNNNNNNNNNNNNNNNNNNNNNNNNNNNNNNNNNNNNNNNNNNNNNNNNNNNNNNNNNNNNNNNNNNNNNNNNNNNNNNNNNNNNNNNNNNNNNNNNNNNNNNNNNNNNNNNNNNNNNNNNNNNNNNNNNNNNNNNNNNNNNNNNNNNNNNNNNNNNNNNNNNNNNNNNNNNNNNNNNNNNNNNNNNNNNNNNNNNNNNNNNNUUAUUUUUUUUGUUCUGUUUGUUUUAUUUAAUUUAUUUUGCCACUGUUUUGAAUUAAAAUAAUAAUUCAAACAAUGCCAAAGCUCCUCUGAAUAUUUUAUAUUGCUAGAUGGACUUUUCCAAAAGCUUAUAAAAUAUUUCAGGGGGUAUUUGAAAUUAUAUUCUAAUUAUAUGAAUAUAAUUCAAAUUCAAAUAGCUAAUGAUUUAAAUCCAAAGUCCCAAAAAUAAAUCCUUAAAAAUGUUCAAUAUUUUGGUUGGGACCAGAACCCUUACCAAAAAUUAUCAAACAUUUAAGAAGAGCAUUUUGGAGCAAUGAAUGAGAUUUCUAGGGUUUUUGCCCCUCUUUUAUUUAAGUUUUUUGAGGCUUCCAAUAUUCCUCAAUUCAAGUUUCAGAAUUUAAACAUGAUGCACACAUGAAGCUAGCCUAGAGCAUUACCAGAAGCUAGGGAUGUGACAGGUAGGAAACGCAAAAUACCAAAAAAAUUAUUUGUACCUACUAAACCAAUGUGUCGGAGUAAUGGGCCACGGGUAGGCUAACCCGAGCCCCAGAACCUUUCAAGACAUCAGGGCAGGCUGCGCCCCUCAAGACCCCAGGACGAAGAGCCGCCUUCUCAGAAGUCGGCGGCAAGGCAACCGACUGCCCACUCGCGACCGAGUCCCGGGGACGACUUCAGAUAAGCCGACUCCUGACUAGCGACUUCCAGAGAAGCCGGCUUUGGGGAGUCGGCCUGCAACUCCAACAAACCCCAUGUCCUCAUCAAGAGGGACGGGACAGGGGAGUGGCUACAGUGAAGACUGCUCCCACCCCUUUCCAGAGGCAGGCAUGGCUACAGUACGCCGUACUCGCGGAGAUCUCCAUGCGGCGUGGCACUGUUGCCAUGCCAGCCCUGCCAUCAGCACCGGUGGACCGAAUCCUGCGCCCACAACGACUUGUCCGUACGACCUUGGGGCAGCGGGUCCCACCAGCCAGCGGGACCCCAGAAGACGGCAAGUGCGCCACCAGUCGGACUCGUUCGGAGUCGGCCCCUGGGAGUCGGCCAGCUCCUCCCCCGGGUCCCACGCGCCAUCAACCAGAUGUGACAGAGAAUGGCAAUAGUGAUCGCCACCAGGCGGCGGAGCUGUUGCCACGACUCCAUGACCAAGCCCGCGUCAUCAGAAGCACGGCUACAGUAAUCAGCAGCUGGCAAGACUCGCCUGCGGAGAACGCGGCCUGUCGGCUCCGUACCUAGCCAGUCGGCGGGGCCCACCAAUCGGCGGGCCCCAGCAGUCGGCGGAGAAGACGGAGGCCGGAGGCACUGACGGCUGGGCCCGCGUCCAGCCGGAUUACAAUUGUACUCCUGGGGGGUAGGCCUAUAUAAACCCCCCAGGGCACCCAUGCAAAGGGUUGGAAUCCAUUAGCUCUAGACCAGAUCAUAUAGUAGGGAGAGAGCUAGCCUUGCCCUCUCCUACCUCCAGGAAACAGCUCAAGCAGCAAUAGGGGUAUUAUCUCCCCGGAGAGCCCUGAAGCUGGGUAAGAUUCGCCGGCGUGCAUGUCUAUGCCUCAUCCCGUUUCCAGGCACCGGCGACGUUCUAAUCGCCCCCGCCAUGAUAAGCCAUCCUUUGGCAUAUGUCGCACCCAACCCCUGACAUUUGGCGCCCACCAUGGGGCCUGGUGCACUGCCGUUCGGAGACCUGCUCUGGAGGGAACCCUUUUUCUCCCUGGCGAGUGCAGCCAGCCAGGCACGCCAGAUGGAGUCAGCGCUGACGCGCUGCGCGGCGUUGAGAUCGCCUGCGCAGCCAGUUGCCUGGCCAAACUUGUCAGCGAGGUUCGCCUCUCCGAUGAACCUGCAUCCAACGCAGGCACGGGCGGCUCCGAGAGCCUCCUCGCGGGCGUCCUCGAUCAACUCCACGUCGCUGGCGAGCCUGCCGUGGACUUGGAGUUCGUAGGUUCCACCGACCCGAUGCUGCUCGACUCCGACACCGCAUCGCUCGACGCGUUCCCCACUAAUGUGGUGGUCUACGACGAGCCUCUCCCUCGUGCGGAGAGCGGCGGAAGCACCGUCACCGAGGUGCUCGUCAUCAGUCAUGACGAGCUCCCCGGGGGAGGAGCGCAUGAUCCGCUUGGCGCGGCGCUACAAGACCUGACUACGCCCAUUCCGGAAGACGCUGACGCGGAGAGGUUGGAGGCGCGCCGCCUUUAGCUCGUCGAAGGCGCGAAGAAGCUGGCUAGCAUGAGACGCUUGUCAGAAGCCUACCAGCGAGAGGUGGAUCGCGCUGUUGGCGGCUCGCCGGCCCCAGCAAGGCCCAGCCGCCUUAGCGCGGUCCAGCAGCGCGGCGUAGCCAUCACCAACAUGUUCGGGCCAAGCUGCCCUGUGUACACUACCCCUGCGGAGAACAUUCGAGCCGCCCAGGCGGCGGCGGAUGAGCUGGACAACUUCGAGGGCGAAGAGCGCCGCCUAAUGAUGGAGCGAGUCCAGCGGCUGCUCGACGCGGCUGCCACGCAGAACGAGGCCGGCUGCCGCACGGGGGCGCUGCAGCGGCAAAACGACGACCUUCGCCGAGACCAAGGCGCGACGUCUUGGACGUCGAUUGACUGUGCCCGAGGAAGAAGAGAUAAGGAUCCGGCUGUCAGCCACAGUCGGACUCACAUUACCAUAGAGCGCGACCGAGACGGCCGCCCGAGAGCAGUGGAACGACGGGACGACUGUCCGCCUCCUCCUCCUCGCAAGGAGAGGCGAGUCUCCCUGCCGCCUGUUGAUCAUCCGACUCUUGGCGACCGCCUUGGCCGCCGAGAGGGAGUCUGGGAAAACGACGCCCGCCACCGGAUCGACCGACUUCACCGAUCCCUGGCGUUGGAAGAAGAAGAUGAGUUGGGUCCGCCUUGUUUCGGGCCCCGCAUUCGAUACGAGCCCUUUCCCAAAGGGUUCACGCUCCCAAGAGACAUGCCCAAGUACACCGGCUCCGUGAAGCCGGAAGACUGGCUAGUUGACUACUCCACGGCUGUCAGCAUCGCGAACAGCAACAAGCGAGUCGCCGUAAAAUACGUUCCGCUUAUGCUCCAGGGCACGGCCCGGACAUGGCUGAACAGCCUGAGGCCCCGCAGCAUCAACAGCUGGGUCGACUUCACCGAAGCAUUCGUCCGCAACUUCACCAGCACGUACAAGCGUCCUCCCAAGCCUCGUCAGCUCUCCUUGUGCAUGCAAGGUCCCGACGAGCCGACUCGCGACUACCUCAUGCAUUGGGCCGAGCUUCGGAACUCCUGCGAGGGCGUGCACGAGGUGCAGGCUAUCAAGUACUUCACCGCCGGGUGUAGAGAAGGCACCCUCCUCAAGCACAAGCUCCUCUGCGACGAGCCAGAAACCCUCGACGAGUUGCUGAUCAUAGCAGACAAGUACGCCACGGCCGACUCCUCCAUGAAGGCGGAGAUUCAAGUCAGCGCAACUAGCAAAGUGGCCCCUCAGGCUCCAAGAACUCCGGCGGGAGACGCAAGUCGGCGACAACAGCCGAGCGACCACAAGCACAAGGCCCCGCAGCCGGCUUCCAGCAGCCGGCAGGUCGCGACAGUUGAAGCCCAGCAGCCGGAUGGGCAGCCUCCGCCCAAGCGACAGAAAGGCGGCAAGCCCAACUGGUUGCCGGCCUUCUCCUACGAGCAAACCCUAGAUGGUCCUUGCAAGUUCCAUAGCGGCGCGAAGCCGUUGAAUCACACCACCCGGAAGUGCCACUGGCUCACCAGGAUCGCCAAAGGGGACGGCCUCUUACCUCCCCUGCCUGUUGGGCAGCCGCCUCCGCCUCCGCCCCAGCAGCCGGCUGUCAGGCCAGUCGGCACAAUACAAGACGAAUACCCCGAAGAACAUAGAGCCUACAUGGUGUUUACCAGUAUGGCUGAUGAUCGACGCAGCAGGCGGCUGCAGUGACAAGAGGUGAAUGCAGUAGCAUCAGAGACGCCAGAGUUCAUGCACUGGUCCGAGAAGCCUAUCAGCUGGAGCAAGGCUAAUCACCCAGAGGUGAUGCCGAGUCCGGGCUCCUAUGCCUUGGUCUUGGAUGCCACCUUUGCUACGGAUAGUCAAGCCACUCAUUUUUUGCGAGUUCUGAUAGAUGGAGGCAGUAGCAUCAACAUCCUGUACAAGGACACCAUGGAGAAAUUAGGAAUCAAGCAAAGACAGCUUCAGAAUAGCCGGACUGUGUUCCACGACAUUGUUCCUGGGCUUUCCUGCUCACCAAUCGGCAAGAUCCUGAUGGAUCUCCUCUUUGGAGACAAAGAGCACUUCCACCGAGAGUCAGUUUGGUUUGAGGUGGUGGACCUCGAGAGCCCAUACGACGCACUACUUGGCUGACCCAUCCUGGCCAAGUUUAUGGUGGUCCCCCACUACGCCUACCUCAAAAUGAACAUGCCCAGUUCCAGGGGGAUUCUGACCAUAGCCGGCGACUACCGGAAGUCGUCUUCCUGUGCGGCUGAGAGCAGUCGGCUAGCCGAGUCCCUGGUAAUCGCGGCCGAGAAGCGGCUCCUUGAGCGGUUUGUGGCGAUGGCCGGCAAGAAGCCAGAGGUAUCGCCCAACCCAAGGGAGUCGGAGGCUGAGGGUUCGUUCAAGCCGGCCAAGGAGACAAAGAAGAUACCCUUGGACCCGGAGCACCCGGAGAGGUACGCUGUCAUAGGCGCAAACCUCGACAGCAAAUAGGAAGGCGAGCUCGUCGAUUUCCUCCGUGAGAAUCGUGACAUCUUCGCAUGGUCCCCCAAAGACAUGCCAGGUGUACCGACGGAAUUCACCGAGCACAAAUUACAUGUCCGAUCUGAUGCAAAGCCAGUGAGGCAGCCCCUGUGCCGCCUAUCAAAAGAGAAGAGAAGAGUUGUCUAAGAAGAAAUAGCCCGGCUCCUAGCGGCCGGCUUCAUUAUGGAAGUAUUCUUCCCAGAGUGGCUAGCCAAUCCGGUCCUGGUACUGAAGAAGAACAAGCAGUGGCGAAUGUGUAUUGACUACACGAGCCUCAACAAGGCAUGCCCCAAGGACCCCUUUGCUCUACCAAGAAUUGAUCAGGUGAUAGACUCCACCGCCGGAUAUGAGCUAUUGAGUUUUUUGGAUGCAUAUUGAGUAUAUCACCAGAUCAAGCUGAACCCGGCUGACAGACUGGAGACCGCCUUCAUCACGCCAUUUGGAGCUUUCUACUACCUCACCAUGACGUUCGGCUUGAGGAAUGCUGGCGCCACCUUCCAACGUUGCAUGCAGAAGUGCUUCCUCAAGCAGCUCGACGGGAACGCCCACGUCUACGUGGAUGAUGUGGUGGUGAAGACGGAAAAGCAUGGAACACUGCUGGAAGAACUCAAGGAGACCUUUGAGAACCUGCGCCGAUUCCAGAUCAAGCUCAACCCCGAGAAGUGCGUCUUCGGAGUACCAGCCGGCCAACUCCUUGGCUUCCUGGUCUCCGAACGUGGCAUAGAAUGCAACCCUAUAAAGAUCAAGGCCAUUGAGAGGAUGGAGGUACCCAGCCAACUGCUGGAUGUGCAAAAGUUCAUCGGCUGCUUGGCGUCCAUCAGCCCAUUCAUCAGUCGGCUGGGAGAGAAAGCUCUCCCCUUAUACCAUCUAAUGAAGAAGACCACUUUUUUCGAGUGGAACCACAAGGCGGACGGAGCUUUUCUCCAGUUGAAGAAGACGCUGACUACUCCACCCGUUCUGGCGGCUCCGACUCCUAAGGAACCUAUGCUCCUGUACAUCACCACCACCAGCCGGGUAGUCAGCACGGUCAUUGUAGUGGAACGCAAGGAGGAAGGCAAGGCACUACCUGUCCAGAGACCGGUAUAUUACCUAAGCGAAGUAUUGUCGGCCUCCAAGCAGAACUACCCCCACUACCAAAAGAUGUGCUAUGGCGUACACUUUACCACCAAGAAAUUGAAGCCUUACUUUCAAGAGCAUCCAAUCACUGUGGUCUGCACGGCUCCACUUGCCAAGAUCAUCGGAAGCCGAGAUGCUUCUGGCCGAGUGGCCAAGUGGGCCACAGAGCUGGCUCCCUACACCAUCUACUACCAGCCCCGCACCGCCAUCAAGUCACAAGCACUGGCCGACUUUCUCAUCAACUGGGCCGAGACCUAGUACCUAUCUCCAGCGCCCGACUCCACCUAUUGGUGGAUGCAUUUCGACGGCUCCAAGAUGCGCACCGGCUUGGGAGUCGGCGUCGUCCUCACUUCCCCUAAUGGCGACAAGCUCAAUUACGCACUACAAAUCCAUUUUGCCGCCUCCAACAACGUCGCCGAGUACGAGGCGCUCAUUCACGGACUUCGGCUUGCCAAAGAACUUGGCAUUCUCCGGAUCCUGUGUUAUGGCGACUCGGACUUAGUGGUCCAACAGUCAUCUGGCGACUGGGACGCCAAAGAUGCAAACAUGACGAGUUACCAUUUCCUCGUGCAGCAACUCAGUGGGUAUUUUGAGGGGUGCGAGUUCCUCCAUGUGCCAAGAAACGACAACUACCAAGCAGACGCCUUGGCACGAAUUGGCUCUACCCGCCAAGAAAUACCAUCCGGCGUCGCCCUUCAAUGCCUCCUCAAUCCGUCUGUCAAGCCUUCACCAAAAUCAGACUCCAUCUUCAUGCCGGCUCCUCCCGAAGAAGUCAGAUCCGACUCCAGGGCCCCAUUAGAUGGUACGAGGAUUUUGGCAGAUGGCUGCAAAGGCACCACAGUCGAAGCCGGCCCAGGGACUGCAGUACCCGGCCCGGGGACUGCGGCGGCGGGCUCGAAGACUCCAGAACUCGGCCCAAGAGCCGCGCCAGUCGGCCUGGGGACUUCAUUAACCCAGCAAGCGGUUGUUGACUCCAACCCGCCGCCUCCCAGCCCAGCCGCCCUUGUCCAAGUCACAGUUCUGGCAGUCGAAGAAAUAGCAGCACCCUCAUGGGCCCAGCCCAUCCUCAAAUUCGUGGUGAGCAAAGAGCUGCCGACUGAUGAGACCUCAGCUCGGCAAGUACAAUGCCGAGCGGCGGCCUACACCAUAGUCAACAGAGAGCUGGUCAGGCGCAGCGUCACUGGUGUCUACCAGCGUUGCGUAGAGCCAGAGCAAGGCCAAGCAAUUCUCAAAGACAUCCAUCAAGGCGAGUGCAGCCACCAUGCGGCUUCAAGAGCACUCGUCGCAAAAGCCUUUCGACAUGGUUUCUUCUGGCCGACUGCCUUAGAAGAGGCCAAGGAAUUGGUCCAAAAAUGCAAAGGGUGCCAGAAGUUCAGCUCCAAGCCGCACCAGCCGGCUUCUGCACUCAAGACCAUCCCCAUUGCCUGGCCUUUCGCAGUUUGGGGUCUAGACAUGGUGGGACCAUUCAAGACGGCACGAGGUGGCUUAACUCACUUACUUGUCGCAGUGGACAUGUUCGCCAAGUUGAUAGAAGCGAAGCCAAUCAAGAAACUGAACGGUCCGACUGCCGUGACUUUCAUCUCCGAUAUCACAAUUCGGUACGGCAUACCACACAGCAUCACCACCGACAACGGCACAAAUUUUGCCAAAGGCGCCUUGGCCCGUUUUUGCGCAACAUAGGGCAUCCGACUGGACCUAGCGUCCGUCGCCCAUCCACAGUCAAACGGCCAGGUGGAGCGAGCAAACGGCCUCAUCCUGUCCGGCAUCAAGCCCCGACUGGUCGAGCCUCUGGAGCGGUCAGCUGGCUGCUGGCUUGAUGAGUUGCCAGCCGUCCUCUGGAGUCUGCGCACGACUCCAAACAAGUCAACUGGCUUCACGCCUUUCUUCCUUGUCUACGGUGCCGAAGCCAUCAUCCCAAUGGACACAGAGUUCGACUCCCCGCGAGUCACCAUGUACACCGAGGAGGAAGCAGAAGAAGCACAUCAAGACGGCGUCGAUCUGCUGGAAGAGGGCUGGCUGUUGGCACUCAGCCGGUCCAGCAUCUACCAGCAGAGCCUGCGCCGAUACCACAACAGGAAGGUCAAGCCAAGAUCUUUCCAAGAAGGCGACCUUGUGCUCCGGCUGAUCCAGCGAAUAGCCGGCCAGCACAAGCUGCCGGCACCUUGGGAAGGCCCUUUCAUCAUCAGCAAAGUGCUGGGCAACGACUCCUACUACCUAAUUGACGCUCAGAAGUCCCGAGCACGCAAGAGGGACGACUCCGGCAAAGAGAUAGAGCGGCCAUGGAAUGCAAAUCUCCUCCGAAGAUUUUACAGUUGAUGCAGUAUGUACCACGCUACCUUUUGUAUUAAAGUACCAAGACUUCGGCCCCCUCGAGACGAGCUCGGGGACUGCCCUCUUUUGUCUAUAUGAUAAAAGUUAUGCCUACGAGUAUGUUACUCUUUGUUAUGCCGCUUGGCACCGGGCUCGACAGGUCCGCCCGGGGACUUGCCGCCUUGCACUAUGAAAUGCUUCCUGCAGCCGGACAAGUAGUGUGUGGUGCCUAGGCCAUCUCCUAUCAGAAGCCGCAGCUCGCAGAGCGACUGUACGGUGGGCAGGAGUAAGGUAGAAUGGGCGUUCACAUGAAAAAUGGCUAAGGACUCAAAGAUAAAACAUAGAUUUCGCAAACCGACUAUUAAGUAGUCGGCUCACCGCCUUCUAUUCAACUUGCUAAAAAACUCUAAAACAGCUAAAGUACUCACCUUCCCAAAGUAGCCAAGCAUUUGAUCCAACGGCAGUCCGCAGAGCGGCUGUCCGAUUGGCAAGACAGGCAACUAAGGGAAAGCAGCAAAGGAAAGAAGCCAAAAGAGCAAUGAGCAAGAAAAGAUAGAAUUCGGAUAAAUAUUUACAUAGCAUAGGCCCUUGGCCGAAUCUUCGAGCAGAAGUUCAAAAUACAACCCCACAGGUGGAAUUGUGCGAAUUAACAAGUUCUUCAGAGACUACUAAAGCAGAUAAAAUAAAGAUAAGGUGGCCGCCUAAGACGCGGCAGACGGAUUCGGAGGGUCCGAGGAGGCGGCAGCAUCAGGCGUUGGGCGGCCGGCUGGGCAGUCUCGGCUUGAUCGCCUCCGGCGGCAGUCGGCUCGGUCGCACGCGGCUCGUUGCUGGAGGUGCGGUCGAGCUGAGGCUGGCCAUCUGCCCCGUCUUCUGGUGCCUCCGUCUCGCCUCCGUCCUCCACCUCGCCUUCCUCCUCGACGCUGGAGCUGAUCACCUCCGUCGAGUCCUCGCCGUAGUCUGGGUUCAUCCCAAACCACUCCGGCGGUACCUCCUCGCCGUCUUUAGACCGCUCGGGGACGAAGAUGCUCGUGUCGGUGUACUCGGCGAUCGCCGCGGCACACUUGACAAGGGCAUCUUCCACGGCUGCCAGCUCCAGUUGGGCCUCUGACCGGAGUGUGGCCAGCCGGUCUAGAUGCAGCCCCGGAUACCACGCCUUGACGAACUCCAAGGCCCAGCACGCUCCAGCACGGGCCGAGGAACCCUUCCAGGCUUCAAGACGACUAGCCGCGACCUCUAGCCAGUCGGCAGUCAGGCUGGGGGUGCGUGGAGCCUGCAUGUCUGGCCACAGGGCAGCAAUCGCCAGGGCACCGACACGUUGAAGCCGGUGCAGCAUCCGGUGAGUCGGCCGAAGGCGAGCCUCGAUGCUCAGGAUAUGCUCAUCAAGGGUUCGGGGAGUGUCGGCGGUGAUCUCUGCGCCUUCCGCCCUCCGACCUUCACAGUCAGCCUCGAUGGCUUGGAUGGCAGCCUGCGAGUGCCCAGGGAAGAAGUCUGCCAAAAAUGGAAGAAACGAAGAAGCAAGUCGAAAAUCAGGAGUCGGCACGAUUUAUAAUCGGCAGCUCGAAGAAAGAAAGUAAAGAAACUCAUCGUCAACAAUGUCUUCAAUCUCAUGGAAGCCGGAGGCCAGCAUUGCCUCUCUGUCAGUCCAGGAGGAGCGCUCGCUCGCAAACUCGGCCAGGAGGGCAGUUUCCGCCUCUUCCGCCUCCUUAUGCAUCUUCGCAAGCAGCUCCCUCUUCUCUGCCAAUUGAGUGGCCAGCAGAUCGCGCUCUGUGGUGAGCUUGCUGCACUCCUCUCCCUUGGCGCGCAACGCGGAAUUGGCUUCGCUCAGCUACUGUUGAAGAAUAGCGUUGGCUUCUGAAGAGAAGGAAGAAAGAAGGUGUUAAGUUAUCAGUAAAGAAGGUCAUCGGGGAGAUCCGGCCCGACUGCUCAGCAAUCGGCCCGAAUCUCGGGGACUACAGCCAGCGGGUGUGCCAGCGCGCCCCCGCAAAGAAGAAAAAGGACUUACUCCGGCUCUCCGACAAGUCGGCGGUCCGCUUGCCCAGCUCUUCAACAUUACGGGCCGCCUGCUCAGCAGCCGGCCCGAAACUCAGGGUCUACACCCAGUGGGUGCGCUGGCGCGCCCCCACAGAGAGGAACAAGAAAACAAGGACCAAAGAGAAAACAUACUCGGACCGCUGCCCGUGAUGCCAGGUACGCCUUGCUGCAGUUCUGGAUGGCGUCGCCCUCAGCUCGAAGCUUCGUUUGGACGUCUAGAAGCGCCUAGUUCAGCAGCCCUGUGCCGCCUCCUCGCACCCACCCAAUGGGCGCGGCGCUCGUCACUUCGGCGUCUGGGAUCGCCGAGCUGGCGGUGCCGGUCUCCAGGGGGCGUGGCGCCGAAGUCGCCUUCUCAAGACGGCGGCGCGUUGGCGAGCCGACUUGAAGGAGUAGCCUCGCCACGGCGUCGUUCUCAGUCAGCGGCAUCGGCGGAUCCACCGGCUGUUCGCCUUGCGCGCUCCCAGACGGCGGCGGAGGUGGCGGCGGAACAAUCACAUACGGCAUGGAGGAGCCGCCGCCUUCCCUCCCCAGGAUGGGGUUCUCGCCACCGGCUUCCCCAGUCUGCCCCGUGAACUCCGAAGGCGGCGGCACAGAGUUCAGCGGGGUGACGAACACCGCCGAUUGGCGGUGCGCGGCCUCCUCAUCCUGCCGCCUCGUCGCGGCGACGGCUUCGGCCUCGGCCAGUUUCUUCUUGGCGGAGGCCUCGGCCUUAUCGGCCUCCACCUUCUCCAGGCGGGCGGCCUCUUCCUCAUUGCGCUUCUCCUGCGCAUUCCGCUCCGUCGCCUCCCGGAGGUCAGCAGCGGGGUCAAUCCGCCGAGUGGUGGCGGACGUCUCCGCUGACCCAAUGACGGAGGCGGCGACAACCCUCUCAAGAGUGAGGGGAUCCCUGAAGCGAGGGAAGCCAGUAAAAGACUUAGACAAAGCUACAGAGAAAGAAUAAAGUAUUAAGACGGAAUACUCACACGGAGACCAGUGGCGGCUUCUUUACUUCCUUGCGGAAGCGGAUGGCCUUUGCAGCCGCCUCGUCCCGCUUGGUCGCCGCAGCCGAACUCUUGGGCUUCUUCAGCCGACUGCCGAACAAAGUCGGCACGGCCCCGCACUUCUUCCCGCCGCCUGGAGCACCCGGCACGGCAGAAGAGCCCGCGCCGGGAUGACUGGCUCCUGGCCGGGGGCGGGGGGCGACCUCCUCAUCAUCGCCAGGCCAGUCCUCUAGACUGGCCCCGAGCCGCGGGCCGCCUCCCCCCUCGGCAUCGUCUUCCAAAGCCGCCGCCCCCAGAUCGGGGUCGUCGACGUCGCUCUCCGCCCGGUCGGCAAGGAACUCGCGGGCCGGCCCCGAGGUGCCGGCUGGUGGAUGGAGGAGGGGAUUCUGACCAAAGCCAACUGGUUAGGUCGCACAAAACAGACUCGGCAAGAAAGAAGACAACUCGAAGAAAGAAAGAAAGGGCAACUCACUGUAGGUGGGGGGUUGGCGCGGGAGUACGGCUCCUUGCCGAACCGCCAGUCCUCCAGCAGCUUGCUAUCCGAGAGGUAGUUCACCAUGUAGGCCACCUCCUCGUGAGGCAUGUCCUUGGUGCACAUCUGACUCGGGUCACGGCGCCCGCUCGUUUGGCAUAUCAUGUGGGGGCGGCCUUGGAGCGGGAGAACUCGGCACGCCAUGAAAGCGGCCAGCAGGUCCGAACCAGUCAGGCCCUCCGACUGUGUCAGCACUCGGAGUCGUGUGACGGCGCCGGCUCCCGCAAGCGUCAACGACUUGGCCCGGAACGACCAGUUGGGCAAUCUCCCAGCCGGCGGGCCGGCUUCGAAGGCCAGCAGGUUGACCCAUUCGCCCCCGCGAAGACGCUCUUCAUGUAGAAGUACGAUCGCUGCCAUAUCAUCACCGACUUUAUCAGCCUGAUGAUGGGGAAGGGGUUGUCGGCCCCCAACCUCUGCACGGCGAUGAAUGCACCACACUGAGCCAGCACGCCUGCAGCCUGGGUGCCGAUCUUGCAGAAGAAGAACCCCCCCAGAGCUCGAGGGUGGGGAGGACUCCGAGGAAGCCUUCACACAAUGCCACGAAGGCGGACAGCAACACCACCAUAUUGGGCGUGAGGUGGUGCGGCUGGAGGCCGUAGAACUCCAGAAAAGAGCGGAAGAAGCUGCUCGCCGGCAGCCCCAAUCCGCUAAGGGAGGGCGAGCGGAAGAUGACCCGCUCUCCCUCCUCUGGCGCUGGGGAAAUCUCCCGCCUCGGCGCAAGACGCACCCGCACGUAAUCUUCGCCGGGGAGCCGACGAGUCUUGCGGAGGAACUCGAUGUGGUCGUCAUGAACUUCUGAGCCGUCCCAGGUGCCGGAAUGCACAGAGGGAGGCGCAGCGCCAGAAGAAGAACUCAUCAUGAGCUGAUCGCCGUGGCGUUCGGCAAAGCGUGGGCGCACGGCGGAGCGAAGAAGAAGAAGAAGGAGAAGAGAAAGGAGUAGUGGGAAGGAGGGGCGCGCGUGCUCUGCCGCGCCCCCUCCUCCCCCUACUUAUAGCCUCAUGGGCUGCGAAGCUGAGGGGGCGGUCGUGGGAUUUACUGCGCCCACGGCCCCACGACCCCCACGUUUCCACAACAAUGUUACUACGCGCAGUAACUUCACAAGAAUCCCAACCGUCCACUCGGGCCACAGCGGAUCCGCUCGAGCAUCGAGGCACGGUAAUGGCGCCCCCCCUACAGGCCUGUCCCAUCACGCACGUAGGCUGGCAGACUGGCCCGGCCGCGCGUUGCCACGUGAGAGGCCCGGAACGGGCGGUAGCCUGGAAGCUUAGCCCGCACGCCAUUUGGAUCCCGCCAUGACGUUCGAAAUACUGUGCAAGUCAGAGUUGGGCGGGUCCGACUCCUUCUAGUCGGCCCGACGGAAAUCAAGCAAGAACCAUGUGUUGAGCACCCGGAAAGAGAAAUGGCUGAGGCUUCUCAACCGAUCGUCCAUGGCGCCUCACCAGCUUCGGGGACUACUAUCGGAGUAAUGGGCCACGAGUAGGCUAACCCGAGCCCCAGAACCUUUCAAGACAUCGGGGCAGGCUGCGCCCCUCAAGACCCCAGGACGAAGAGCCGCCUUCUGAGAAGUCGGCGGCAAGGCAACCGACUGCCCACUCGUGGCCGAGUCCCGGUGACAACUUCAGGAUAAGCCGACUCCUGACUAGCGACUUCCAUAGAAGCCGGCUUUGGGGAGUCGGCCCGCGACUCCAACAAACCCCCUGUCCUCAUCAAGAGGGACAUGACCGGGGAGUGGCUACAGUGAAGACUGCUCCCACCCCUUUCCAGAGGCAGGCAUGGCUACAGUACGCCGUACUCGCGGAGAUCUCCGUGCGGCGUGGCACUGUUGCCAUGCCAACCCUGCCAUCAGCACCGGUGGACCGAAUCCUGCGCCCCCGACGGCUUGUCCGUACGACCUUGGGGCAGCGGGUCCCACCAGCCAGCGGGACCCUAGAAGACGGCAAGUGCGCCACCAGUUGGACUCGUUGGGAGUCGGCCCCCGGGAGUCGGCCAGCUCCUCCCCCAGGUCCCAUGCACCAUCAACCAGAUGUGACGGAGAAUGGCAAUAGUGAUCGCCCGCCAGGCGGCGGGGCUGUUGCCACGACUCCAUGACCAAGCCCACGUCAUCAGAAGCACGACUACAGUAAUCAGCAGCCGGCAAGACCCGCCCGCGGCGGACGCGGCCUGUCGGCUCCGUACCUAGCCAGUCGGCGGGGCCCACCAAUCGGCAUGCCCCAGUAGUCGGCGGAGAAGACGGAGGCCGGAGGCACUAACGGCUGGGCCCGCGUCCAGCCAGAUUACCAUUGUACCCCUGGGGGGUAGGCCUAUAUAAACCCCCCAGGGCACCCAUGCAAAGGGUUGGAAUCCAUUAGCUUUAGACCAGAUCAUAUAGUAGGGAGAGAGCUAGCCUUGCCCUCUCCUACCUCCAGGAAACAACUCAAGGAGCAAUCGUGUAAACACUUUGCCAUAGUGAUCAUGCGGAGACCCCGUAGAGCAGCAGUAGGGGUAUUAUCUCCCCGGAGAGCCUUGAAGCUGGGUAAGAUUCGCCGGCGUGCAUGUCUACGCCUCAUCCCGUUUCCAGGCACCGGCGAUGUUCUACUCGCCCCCACCAUGAUAAGCCAUCCUUUGGCAUAUGUCGCACCCAACCCCCGACACAAUGGUUGAAGAACCACACAAAAUCUAUCAUACUACUGAAGCUUUCUACUUGGAUCAUCUUCGAUCCAUUUGUGCUCGUGCUGAAAACCCAACUAGCUUGGUUGAGGGAAAAUCAUUAGAUGAGCAUGCUUGUUUUGUGCGGCACCGUUUAUCUCAAAAAGGGAAACUUUUACAACAUCAAAUUAAUACUAUGCAAUGCUAUGCUUGGAAUUUAUGUGAAUUAUGUGAUUUUACUUGUUGUUCUGAAGACCCUAAGAAACACCUUCCCUACCAAUGUGAGUUUAUUGAUAAUGGAAUCGUAUCUUCUUAUGCGAAAGGUGUUUAUAAUUACUUUGAUAUUGAACAAAUUGUAGAAUUUGUUGCUUUUAAGGGUGCUUAUGAAAUUGCUUAUUUGAUUGAAAAGUAUGAUCCUAAUCUUUACAAAUCUGAAAAUCUUUCCAUACUUAAAUACUGUUAUGAUAAUUAUGCUUAUAAUGCCUAUAUUAAACCAUAUAUUAAGGACUCCUCAGCUGUCCAAGAAGAGACUAAAAUUUUGUAGGAGUCUAUGGAAGAAGAAAAUGAUGAAACUGUGAGCUCAUUGGAUGAAACAGAUGAGGAGGAGAGCGGAGAAUAAAUGGAGGAAGAGCGGAUUGAUCACCCAUGCCCACCUUCCAAUGAGAGUAACUCUUCAACUCAUACAUUGUUUAAUUUCCCUUCGUUCUUACCAAAGGAUGAAUGCCAUGAUAAUUGCUAUGAUCCUGUUGAUUCGUUUGAAAUAUCCCUUUUGAUGAACUUGAUGCUUGCUAUGCUUGUGGCCAUGAUUCCAUUAUGAAUUAUGAUUAUGAAGAUGAACUUGCUAUAGUUCCUUAUGUUAAGAAUGACAUUGUUGCUAUUGCACCCACACAUGAUAGUCCUAUUAUCUUUUUGAAUUCUCCAAACUACACUAUAUCGGAGAAGUUUGCACUUAUUAAGGAUGACAUUGAUGGGUUGCCUUUUACCGUUGCAAAUGAUAAUUUUGAUGAAUGUAUUAUGCAUUUUCUUGCUGCUCCUACUUGCAAUUAUUAUGAGAGAGGAACUACAUCUCCGCCUCUCUAUGUUUCCAACAUGAAAGAAUUGCAAGAAACUUCUUAUGCUAUGUAUUGACCUUUAAUUGAUGUGCAUGAAUUGUUCUUGUACGACAUGCCUAUGCAUAGGAAGAGAGUUAGAAUUUAUCAUUGCAUGAUAUAUGUUGCUUUGUGCUCAUUACUAAAUGCCAAAUCAUUGUUAAUUAAAAUUGGCUUUGAUAUACCUUGGGAUCCGGGUGGAUUCAUUACUUGAGCACUUUAUGCCUAGCUUAAUGGCUUCAAACAAAGCUCUACUAGGGAGACAACCCGAAAAUUUUUGAGAGUCAUUUCUUUUUGUAGAGUGCUUUUAUAAAGUUUAAAAACAAAAAAUAGAGGGUAACUUAAAAACUUUUUCACAAAAGAGAAGCGAUUGAAGUUAUGCAAUGGAGAAGUGAGGGUCGACCUUGAACACUUGUGUGCAUGCUCAUGGAAACAUUGUAGAAUUUUUCAUGAAGAUUCUCACAAAAAUAAUUAUACCCUUGUACAAUUCCAUUGUAUUAUAAAAAUAAUGUGCCAAGGUUUGCCUUUAGGAUGAUUAAAUUGCUUGUUGGUUUGUGCGGUGCAAAACAUAAACUUUGGCUGUAGUGAUCGAUUUUACAAUUUUUUUUACUUUAACAUCAAACAGGUCUGAAACUUUUUGUACUGUCUUUAUAUACAAAAUGUUUAUUUUUUCCUAAUUUUCAGAAUUUUUUGAGUUACAGAAGUAUGGUGGAUGUUCAAAUCUUUACAGACUGUCCUGUUUUCAAAGAUUGCUUUUAUAGCUUCAUUAUUUGCGUAUGUUCGAAUUCUUGUUGAAGCCUCCUUGACUUGGGUCCAUAGAAUUGUGAUAGCAUACAGUGGUUAAUGUUUGUUUAUAAUUAUACAAUAAUGUUACAGUAGUACAUGAUUGGAUUUCAUUUCCAUAUUCACUAACCCUGCCACGAAAAGUUCGGUUAAGUUUUGUGUGGAUGAAGUGUUUGAAGAUCGAGGAGGUCUCGAUGUGAGGAGAAGGAGGAGAGGCAAGAGCUCAUGCUUGGGGAUGCCCAAGGCACCCCAAGUAAAUAUUCAAGGAGACUCAAGCGUCUAAGCUUGGGGAUGCCCCGGAAGGCAUCCCAUCUUUCUUCAACAAGUAUCGGUAUGUUUUCAUUCGUUUCGUGAUAUGUGCAAAUCUUGGAGCAUCUUUUGUGUUUAUUUUUCAUUUUUAUUUUAAGCACCAUUAUGGUAUGAUAUAGUCCAUGGUCGAUUUAUAGAAUACUCAUUGCACUUCACUUAUAUCUUUUGAGUAUGGCUUUAUAGAAUGCUUCAUGUGCUUCACUUAUAUCAUUUGAAAUUUGGAUUGCAUGUUUCUCUUCACAUAGAAAACCGUUAUUUGAAGAAUGCUCUUUUGCUUCACUUAUAUUUAUUAGAGCAUGGACUUUUGUAGAAAGAAUUAAACUCUCAUGCUUCACUUAGAUCUAUUUAUAGAGUCAACCGGAAUUGGUUGAUUGCAUGGUUAGUCAUAAAAUCCUACAUAAAACUUAUGGAUCACUGAAUAUGAUAUGUUUGAUUCCUUGCAAUAGUUUUGCGAUAUAGAGAUGGAAUAUGUGGGAGGUACGAGUAAAUGGUUGUGUUUAGUAAGAAUAUUGGUGCUAAGGUUUGUGAUUCCCGAAGCAUGCACGUAUAGUAUCUCGUUAUGCUAUGAAGUUGGAGCAUGAUUCCCGAAGCAUGCAAACUAAGCAUGCACGUAUAAUCUCACAUAGAAAACCGUUUGUGAUUCCUACAAAUCUAUGCCCCUAGGGGCAUGCGUAGUGGUACUUUGCCUCGAGGGCUAAUAAACUUUUGCAAUAAGUAUAUGAGCUCUUUAUGACUAAUGUGAGUCCAUGGAUUAUACGCAUUCUUACCUUUUCGCAAUUUGCUAGCCUCUAUGGUACCGUGCAUUGCCCUUUCUCACAUCGAGACGCGGUGCAAACUUCGCCAGUGCAUCCAAACCCCGUGAUAUGAUACACUCUAUCACACAUAAGCCUUAUUAUAUCAUCCUCAAAACAGCCACCACACCUACCUAUUAUGGCUUUUCCACGGCCAUUCCGAGAUAUAUUGCCAUGCAACUUCCACCACUUCCGUUUGAUGACUUGAGCAUUCAUUGUCAUAUUUCUUUGCGUGAUCAUAUAGCUGACAUAGUAGUUGUGGCUCAGCCACCGUUCAUCAUCUUUCAUACAUGUUACAAUAGAUCAUUGCACAUCCUGGUACAUGCCAGAGGCAUUCAUAUAGAGUCAUACUUUGUCAUAGGUAUCGAGUUGUAAUUUUUAUUUCUUUUGAGUUAUAAGUAAAUAGAAGUGUGAUGAUCAUCAUUAUUCAUUUUUAGAGCAGUGCCCCAGUGAGGAAAGGAUGAUGGCGACUAAGAUUCCCCCACAAGUCGGGAUGAGACUCUAACGCCCUCGAUGCGGCUAUAUCUCCCACCUGUCGAAGCACGACUUAGAGGCAUAACCGCAUUGAAAGCAAUGUCGCAAGUGAGGUAAUCUUCACACAACCCAUGUAAUACAUAAGGGAAAGAGAUACAUAGUUGGCUUACAAUCGCCACUUCACAACAAUUACAUGAAUAAAGCAUUACAUCAUCCAGAUACAAUCAAGGUCCGACUACGAAACCAAAAUAAAAGAAGACUACCCCAAAAGCUACACAGAUCCCCGAUCGUCCCAACUGGGCUCCACUACUGAUCAACUAGAAACGGAACAACAUAAAGAACACGAUCUUCAUUGAGGUCCUCCUUGAGCUUGGUUGCGUCACCUGUACGGUAUCAUCGGCACCUACAAACUGGUUUUUGAAGUAUCUGUGAGUCACGGGGGCUCAGCAAUCUCACACCCUCACGAUGAAGACUAUUUAAGCUUAUAGGUUGGGUAAAAGGUAUGAGGUGGAGCUGCAGCAGGCGACUAGCAUAUAUGGUGGCUAACAUACGCAAAUGAGAGCGAGAAGAGAAGGCAAGGCACGAUCGAUAAAACUAUGAUCAAGAAGUGAUCAUAGAACAACCUACGCCAAACAUAACUCCAACGCCGUGUUCACUUCUCGGACUCCGCCGAGAAGAGACCAUCACGAUUACACGCGCGGUUGAUGCAUUUUAAUUAAGAUCAACUUCAGGUUUUCUACAAUCGGACAUUAACAAAUUCCGAUCUACCCAUAACCGCGGGCACGGCUUUCGAAAGUUCAAAUCCCUGCAGGGGUGUCCCAACUUAGCCCAUCACAAGCUCUCACGGUCAACGAAGGAUAUUCCUUCUCCCAAGACAAUCCGAUCAGACUCGGCAUCCCGGUUACAAGACAUCCUCGACAAUGGUAAAACAAGUCCAGCAAGACCACCCCCUGUGCCGACAAAUCCCGAUAGGAGCUACACAUAUCUCAUUCUCAGGGCACACCGGAUAAGCUAAGUGUACGGGAGCCAACGUAACCCAAGUUGCCAAGGGACGGCCCCGCACGGUGCUCUGGGUUGGACCAACACUUAGAUAAGCACUGGCCCCGGGGUAUAAAUAAAGAUGACCCUUGGGCUGGCCGACCCAAGGGAAAAAGAGGCUAGGUGGCGAAUGGUAAAACCAAUGUUGGGCCUUGCUGGAGGAGUUUUAUUCAAAGCGAACUAUCAAGGGGUUCCCAUUAUAACCCAACCGUGUAAGAAACGCAAAAUCCGGGAACAUAACACCGAUAUGACGGAAACUAGGGCGUCAAGAGUGGAACAAAACACCAGGCAUAAGGUCGAGCCUUCCACCCUUUACCAAGUAUAUAGAUGCAUUAAUUAAAUAAAAGAUAUUGUGAUAUCCCAACAAUAAUCAUGUUCCAACAAGGAACAAACUCCAAUCUUCACCUGCAACUAACAAUGCUAUAAGAGGGGCUGAGCAAAGCGGUAACAUAGCCAAACAACGGUUUGCUAGGACAAGGUGGGUUAGACGCUUGGCUUAACAAUAUGGGAGGCAUGAUAAGCAAGUGGUAGGUAUCGCAGCAUAGGCAUAGCAAAAGAGCGAGCAUCUAGCAAGCAAAGAUAGAAGUGAUUUCGAGGGUAAGGUCAUCUUGCAUGAAAUCCCGCAAGGAAGAAGAACGAGUCCAUGAAGAAGACAAACGGACGUAGCCAACGGAUCCUCACAUACGCAACUUUACCGGAUUACCGAGAAGAAGUACACCGGAAAGAAAGCAAACAACAUAGUGAAAAACCACCACAUAGACAUGGCAUGAUGCACAAACAAGUAUGGUGCAUGUCCGAUUUAAUGAGGCAUGGCAUGCAAAAUGCACAAACAAUCCUACAAAUUAAGUGGAGCUCAACAUGCAACUCCGUUGCAUAUUGACGAAACACCACAUUCAAGUUAUUUAGUUUAAUCUCAUUUAUGUACCAAACAAUAUUAAAUGUUGUUAAACAUGGCAAGAGGAUGAAGCAAAUGAAAACUAUCUAUCUAGGCAAGUUUAAAUGAGGCCGGAACAACAAACAACAAGUCCGGAAAACCUCAUGUGCAAUAUUAUAGGUUUGGUACUGUUCUGCCCUAAACACAAUUUUAGAGUUAUUAAACAUGCAAAGUGAGUACACCAUGUUAAACUAGGCAUUUUUCUACCCCAUUUACAUAUGAAGUUUGUUACAAACCGUUUUAGCAAGUUAUUUAAGAAAAUUUAAACAAACAGCUUUUUAAACAGUUUAAACAUAGAUGAAAGUUUCAUAUUAUUAAACUAGAUGAAAUUCUAAGCAUUUUACAUAUAUAAUGUUUUUACAAAAGAUCCAUGGUUGGUGAGUUAUGAUAUGCAUGGAGCUUAGGGUUUUUUCUGCAAAUCUGUUUUACACUGGAUAUUAGAAAAAUUUGUUCAGAAAAAAAACAACAUGGGCUAUAACUAACUGGGCCCAAUAAUGGAAAAGAAAAAGAAAAAAAGGAGGACGCGCAGCUGGUCUCACCAUGGGCCUCGGCCCAUGCGGUGGAGGAGGGAGGCUGGCAGGGGGCGCAUCUGGGCCUCGGGCGCUGGCAGGCCGGCCCACUCGGGUGCUGGAUCAAGUCAAUGAGGGGCGCGCCUCAUCGUGAAGCAGGGGAUGCAGCGGCGACGCCCGCGGUCGGACAUGGCGAUGGGGACGAUGUGGAGGCGAAUGGGGCCGGGCGCGAUGGAGGGGAGCUACAAGGCCAUGGCAUAGCGCGUCCAUGGACGAGCCGAGGCUGGUCGGUCAAUGUAGAUAGGCGCUCGUUCUAUUGUAGGGGAAGCAGAGGCCGUCGACGACGUGGACUUGCGGCGGCGCCGAGCUGCAGCGAGGUCGUGGGGGCGCGGGACUUGGACGCAGGGCUCCGGGACGGCGCGUCGGCGGAUCCAGGCGUGGGGAAGGAGGAAGGGGCACACGGCUCAUCCCCAGGGCUCACCGGCGAGAGAAUGCAGCGACUGCUGCUGUUGACUGAAGAAAAGAGAGAGAGAGAGGUUCAGAGAAGGUUCAUGGGAAGGAAGCAACGAGAGACGGCGGACAGGGGACUUCGGCGGGCAGGUAAUGGUGACGAGGUGCAGCAGUGCCGCUCGCAUAGCCUCCCCAUGGUCACGGGGUCCGAGUGAAACAGGGGCACGGGGACGAGGGGCUCCGCGGGCAGGAGUGGUGGCUUGACGGCGGGGGCCAUGGCGCGGUGUUGCUCGGGGCCUGACGGCGCUGCUCUCGAUCCAUACUCGAUCAAGGCACGGGAGGGGGGGAUGAGGCCCUGGAUGGAGGCCGAGAGGAUUUUUGGAUUGAUGGGGAUUGGGUUUGGAUCAGGCAAGAUGGAGGCUUGUUGGUUGGUUGGUUCGGCGCUGAGAACAAGAGAAGUGGCGGCGGCAUGGGGAUGGGAUGGAUGGGACAUAAUCCUAGAUUAUAGGGUUUGGUCUAGUUAUAAAUACUGAGUGGAUUUGGGUAGGGGCUAAUCCGUCCCUACGAUCGUAAUCGGACGGUCGAGAAAAAUAGGCUAGGGAGCCCAAAUAAGAAAACGGAGACGUUUUGUAGAUGUUUGGGGAUGAUCCAGACACAACGGUGGCGACAGUCCGGGUCGGGUCCGGGACAGAUUUCGGACGCGCGCGGGAGGAGGUCCGCGGGCUGACGAGAGAGGUUAGGUAGGGCCUAGCGGUGAGAGGUAGUGCAGAAGGAAAAGGUCUGAGAAGAGAGAAGAGGAGAGGCUCGGCGACUGUUUCCGAAGACCGAAAACGUCCGACGAUAGACCGGCUAUAGUGCGCUAUAGUUUAACGUUUGGGCUAUCAAACGAACCCCGAAUGCGAUGAAACUUGGCAGGCGACCUACUAACACUAUAAAAACACCGCAUGCCAACUUUCAACCCAAUCCGAGAACAUUUCCCAGCCACUUAUAAAAUACUAUUUCGGACAUGUCGCGGGCGCGUGCAAGUGUGGUUGGGCUCAGAACGGACAACGGAGAGAACUCGGAGAACCCGGACGAAUGCAAGUUUUAAAACAUGAUGAUGCAAUGCACAUGAUGACAAGAUAAGAUGCAACACGCAAGCAAAUGACAUGACAACGUCAGCGAAUAACUGGAAGACCCGUGGCACAUCGGUCUCGAGGCGUCACAGAGACUCCCGAUAAUGAGAGAAAAAAGGAAAAAAAGGAAAAAAGGAAAAGGAAAAAUAGAAAAAAUGAAGAAAGAGAGAAGGGGCAUUAUUAGUAUCCUUUACCACACUUGUGCUUCAAAGUAGUACCAUGUUUCUCAUAUGGAGAUUCUCCUAUGUUGUCACUUUCAUAUACUAGUGGAAAAUUUUCAUUAUAGGAUUAGAUGCACACCCACUUAGUUUUAAUAUGGAGCGUUCAUACACUUAUAGCUCCUAGUGCAUUUGUUGCAUGGCAAUCCCUACUCCUCACGUUGAUAUCGAUUAAUGGGCAUCUCCAUAGCCGGUUGGUUAGCCGUGUCGAUGUGAGACUUUCUUACUUUUUGUCUUCUUUAUAUUUACCCCUAUCAUCAUAACCUAUUCCACCCGUAGUGCUAUAUCCAUGGCUCGCGCUCAUGUAUUGCGUGAGGGUUGAAAAAUCUGAAGCCCGUUAAAAAGUAUGAAUCAAUUGCUCGGCUUAUCAUCGGGAUUGUGCAUGAUAAAUACUUUGUGUUAAGAAGACAGAGCAUGACAGGACUAUAUGAUUUUGUAGGGAUAGCUUUCUUCAGCGUUGAUAUUUUGAAAGGCAAGAUUGUUUGUUGGGAUGCCUGAGUAUUGAUGUCUUUAUGUAAAAUUAUAGACUAUUCCUUUGAAUAACUCGUGUCUUAAUAUUCAUGCCAUGAUUAGAUAUAUGAUAAAAUUUAUGCUAGGUAGCAUUCCACAUCAAAAAUUAUCUUUUUAAUUAUUUACCUUCUCGAGGACGAGCAUGAAUUAAGCUUGGGGAUGCUGAUACAUCUCCAUUGUAUCUAUAAUUUUUUAUUGCUUCAUGCCAAUAUUAUACAACUUUCACAUAUUUUUUGGCAACUUUCUAUAUGAUUUAUUGGACUAAUCUAUUGACCUAGUGCCUAGUGCCAGUUCCUGUUUUCUGCAUGUUUUUUCUAUCACAGAGUAUCCAUAUCAAAUGAAGUCUAAAUGCAAUAAAUUUUUACAGAGAAUUAUUUUGGAAUAUAUGUGAUUUUGGGGAGUUGGAAUCACCACAAACGGAGGCCCACACAGCCCACAAGACACCAGGGCCUUCCAGAGGCCCCUGGCGUGUGGUGGUGGGUUGCGCCUUCCUUGAAUAUCGGUUGGAGCUCUACUUCGGGUGCAAGGAAGCUUAUAUCCGGGAAAAAAAUCAUGUUAAAAUCUCAGCGCAAUCGGAAUUGCAGAUCUCUAGGAAUAUAAGAAACGGUUUUUGGCCAGAUCCGGGGAAUGCGAAACAGAAGAUAACAUAGAGGGAGAUCCAAUCUCGGAGGGGCUCCUGCCCCUCCGCCGCCAUGGAGGCCAUGGACCGGAGGGGAACUCUCCUCCCAUCUAGGGGGGGAAAGGAAGAAGAAGAAGGAGGGGAGCUCUCUCCCCCUCGCUUCCGGUGGCGCCGGAGUGCCGCAGGGGCAACGGUCAUGAUGACGAACUAGAUCAACAAUCUUGCUACCGUCAACACCAACUUUCUCCCCCUCUGUGCAGUAGUGUAACACCUCUUCUCCCCACUGUAAUUUGUACUUAAAUAUGGUGCUCAACUCCAUAUAUUAUUUCCCAAUGAUCUAUGGUUAUCCUAUGAUGUUUGAGUAGAUCUAUUUUGUCCUAUGGGUUAAUCGUGAUCUUGGUUGGUAUGAUUGUAUAUUUUAUUUAUGGUGCUGUCCUACGGUGCCUCCUUUCUUGUGCAAACGUGAGGGGUGUUGGUGUCAAAACCAGUGUAUCUCGGGUAGGGGGUCCCGAACUGUGCGUCUGAGCAACGAAGGUAACAGGAGGUAGGGGACAUGAUGUUUACCCAGGUUCGGGCCCUCUUAAUAGAGGUAAUAACCUACUUCCUACUUGAUUGGCUUUGAUGAGUAUAGGGGUUACAAGAGUUGAUCUACCUCGAGAUUGUAAUGGCUAAACACUAGAUGUCUAGCCUAUAUGAUUAUGAUCGCCUCUACAGACUAAACCCUUUGGUUUAUAUAGAGACUAGAAGGGCCUAGGGUUGUACAAAGUCGGUUUACAAAGAAAGGAAUCUUCACAUCCGAACGCCAAGCUUGCUAUCCACGCAAAGGAGAGUCCCAUCCGAACACGGGGGAAGGCCUUCUAUCUUGUAUCUGGUUGGCCCAUUAGUCCGGCCCAUAUCACAUAGCCCAGACGCCCGGGGACCCCCUAAUCCAGGACUCCCUUAGUAGCCCCUGAACCAGGCUUCAAUGACGAUGUGUCUGGCGCGCAGAUUGUCCUCGGUAUUGCAAGGCGGGUUCCUCCUCCGAAUACUCUAAAGCAGUUGGGCAAAAGAACUAUGUUUGGCUCUGUAUAACCGUCACAACCCUAAAACACAAGGGCGAAAUACUUCAACAAAAUAAGUCAUGUCUACCGAUAGCUUUCUCGGCAAGACGUUAUGUUCUGGCCUUAUUAUUAUUUCGAAUCAUUUUUCAGCCUCCCGCUUCGCAUUUUGAGGUGCGGUCCUCAUUGACACAUCUUGUCAAAUCAGAGAUCGUGUCCCCUUAUUACGGGAUUCUCAUCAAUACGGGUUUGGGUAAUCCAACCGUGCUGUUUUGCACGACCCCUUGGGAAUAGGCGAGUUUUAAGGCUUGUGGGGGCGCUUGAUAUUCACGGCCUUUAUAAGAGGAUAAUAAUCCAUCUAUUCUCCCCAUGCCUUCUCCUUCCUCAGCCCAUCCGUCCUCGGGCUACAGCGCCCAAGUCCCAAUCUUUCCCAUCGCCACAAAAUACUCCGGCCAUGUCCAUAUCCGGCUUGCAAGGCAAGUGGAUGGCCUCCUCCGUGACAGAGAAGGACAUCAAGGAGCUCCGGGAGGCGCGGUACUUGACAGCGGAAAUCAAACCUAGACUCCUGACCAAGGAGCAAGUUAUCACCACUCCAAAGCCUGGUGGGAGGGUCGUGUUCCUCCCUCACUUUCUCCGUGGGCUAGGGUUGCCCCUCCACCCCUUUGUUCAUGGUCUCAUGUUCUACUAUGGGAUGGACUUUCAUGAUCUAGCCCCAAAUUCCUUCCUCCACAUCUCGGCAUUCAUCGUCGUGUGUGAGGCAUUCCUCCGCACCCCCCCACUUUGGAUUAUGGCUCAAGGUCUUCAACUUGAAGUCAAAAGUGGUCGACGGUCAACACGCGGAGUGCGACGGUGCCAUUUUGAGCAAGCUCCCAACGUCACUUGGCCCCAGGGGGCCUUCGUGGAGACCGUGAAGGGAUGGCAGCAGGAGUGGUUCCAUGUCACUGAACCUCGCGACACCACAUGGGCUGCCACCCCUCAGUUCAAAUCUGGGCCUCCAAUGCAGCUCACAUCAUGGGUUAAAAAGGUCCUGGACUGGGCAUCGUCCGACGACGUGAUCACACUGCGGAAGCACGUCAAGGGCAUGAUAGAGAAGAACACCAGCCUCACCGAUGUGAUCCACGUGAUGCUUUUUCACUGGAUUCUCCUCUGCCAGCGUCGGACUCUCCAUAUGUGGGAAUUCAAUCCGGCGGGCCCUCGGACCCUGCAACACUUCUUUGGCACGAGGCAUGAAGGAAUCAGGAAGCUGCUUUUCAAGGCCCAGAAGUCGUGGCCGGGAACGACCGAAGACCUUGGCCUCGACUGCGCCCACUCAGCCACUCCAGUAAGUUUUCAGAUUUCCAAACAUAACCUCUACUUGUAGAUUCGAGGAGUAUGCUAAGCCUUCCUUUUCUCCUUCAGGUCUGGACGAAGAAAGCGGAGAGGAUCAAAUGUUAGGCUCCACUACUCGAAGACCCAACUAUCCCUCUGUUAACAAAGAUACUGGUUCCGGCGCCGUACCAAGCGUCGGAGAAGAAGGCCAAGAAGAAGGGCAAGGAGGCCAGAUGUGGCCUCCGCCGUAAAGGUACUUCGGACAUCGCGUCCGAAGACACCGAGGUUCUAUCCUCCCACGAGGGAGAUGAAGAUGAAGAGGAAGAUGAGGAGAGAAAUUCUCCCCUCAAGGGAGAGAAGAAAAGGGCGGCAUCCACGGACCUAGAAGCGGAGGCGUCCAAGAAGGGGAAGAUUUCCCUUUCGGAUGAUUCGGAUUCGGACACCAAAGUCAUCCUCGAGUGGCGCCUCAGGCCGAAGCCCCCGGCCGACUCGUAAGUAUUUAAAGAUACUAUACAUACAUCUGGCCUUUUACAGAUCACAGGUUAACAUUUUAUUGAUGUAUUUUCAGUCAUCCCCGUGAUUUCCCCCAACAAUCGUCGUCUUUGGGAAACUCCUUGGCGCUGGAGAUGAUGGAGAGCGAAACGCCUCCACGAGCCUCUCCGCCACGAGCCGAGGAUGACAACAAGGUGUUGUCCCAAAGGACUUCUCCAAGCCAGGGGGAGGUGUGGAAGGCCGCUGAAACGGCGCCACAAGGUGAUGCCGUGGCUGCCGCAAACAUGGGGGAUACUACCCCCAUUGAAACUGGCGACGGGGUCCUGGAUCAGUCCGGCCCUCGGCCGAAUACUACUCCGGAGACCCACGUGGCUCCGGAAUCGAGUGAGCAGCCCCCUUUGAGGGAGGGGGGAGUGUCAACUCCAUCGGCGACCUCUAUCCAUCCAGAGGCACCGGAUACAUUGAGGGAAGCACUUCAACGUGCUUCCGUCAUGGAAGAGCACCGUACCCUGAUGGGUACGGUGGCUGAGAAGGUUCAGUCCACCAAAAGCGGUCUAAACGAAGCUUUCACUAGCCUGUUAACAAAUUUUGAGGUAAGUGAUAUAACAUGCUUUAGCCGCUUUUCGUAUUGGAAGAAUAUGCAUGUAUAUAGAUAAUAGCCCCUGAGACUCUAUUUGGGCCUUUGGAAAAAAGAGCCAGAUAGAGGAUCAAAUAGUCACUGGAGAUAACACAUUCAUCUAUUUUGAUAAACAUGCUUCACUGUUGGUGGCUUCAGCUAAGGAUGCUGAAGUGUCCGAACUCCAGCGGAAACUGAAGCUGGUUGACGAUGAGAUCGACUGUAUUGAUAAGCGGUUCGAUGAGGCCCAAGGUAUGUUUUUUUGUUAAAAAGACCCCUUUACAAGCCUAAAUUAUAAUGCAAACUUAGAGUUUUAAGCUCAUGCACUGCUACGAAAAUGAUUGUAGGCAACGCGAUCGAGGUCGAGGCCCUCAAGAGUGCCCUUGCCGAAGCCAAGGAGGCGGGGAGGGCAAGAAGCAGCCGCGGAGAAAGUGGCUGCCGAUGUAGAGGCCAAAAAGGCUGCCCGCCUUCAGUAUGAGGCGAGGGUGACCGAAGUAGAGCAAGCGCUCCAAGAAGCCGCCAACAAGUGUGAGUCCUUGGAGGAGAGUAACAAGGCCCAAGUGGCCUAACUCACCAAGGCUCUUCAAGCUGCAAAGGAGGCUUGGUCCGAGUCCCUGGCGGCUCGGGAGGAUAUGAAGCAAGCCGGACAGAUAGCGGCUGGUAAGACUUUUCUUUUACAGAGUAUAUUCGGCGGUCGAAGAUAUGCUUUGCUAAAUCGACUGUGGAGUGCUCCAAACACUUUUGCAGAUCUCCCGAUGAGUGCUUCCGAUGCUGCCGAGUAUUUUCGGGCCCAAGAAGGGAACGCGACGGACAAGCUCUUCUGGUCACAAUACUUGGCACCGGAGCAACCAGCGCUGCUGAACAAUCAGAUAAUGCAGCUGCCAGAGCUGCAUAGGAUGUCUGGUUUGGCCAUGAAGGACAUCAUAGUCCGGCUAUGGCCGGCCGGAUCUAUUUCGAGAAGCUACUUCGGCUUGGUCAAGCGGCUUGGCGACACCUUGCUCCGGGUAGAGGCCGUGAAGUGCUCAGCAUGUAUAGAAGGUGCGCGGAUGGCCUUUGCCCGUGUCAAGAUGCACUAGGCCAAAAUGAAGGCCGCCAUCGUGGCCGUCGAGGGUCCACCCAGGGAAAAGGACCACCGUACGCUGAAGCAUUACUUUUAGGACGUCUUGGAAGGUGCCCGCUUGAUAGAGGGUCAGUGCUCAAAGGACAUCAUGCUCGAAUGAAUUUGUCUGAAAUGCCCGGAUAUUUUAUAAACCAAAGCUUUGUAAUAUAAACCAAGGCCUUGUAAUAUAUUGUAUGCAUUUAUCGUAAAGUGUUAUUCCCCCUGUGCGGCCGUUUUUAAUUCUUGAGAAUUUACCAGUUGUCGCCUUUAGCCCCCACGUAGAUACUACGGGGGUGUUCAGAAUAGCGUGUGACCACACUUGACCCAACGACUUGGUCUGUAAAGAAGGUGGCAGCACGGCGUACUAGGCAAUAAAACUAUACGGUUUUAUCAUUCUCACUUAGCCAUAGGAGUUUGACAAUGGGACUGUAGGGUAGCCCCUGGUGUGUAUGCGGCUAUCGAACUUGGGUGCCUUAAACGCUUGGUUGGAAAAAACCAGCCCUUCGUGUAAUACGGAAGAAAUCGCUAGAGAUUUAGUAAGUCACCGAAUUGCUGACCAGCUCUCGCGGCAUCACGACAGUCAGUUUUCGGCUUUCUCUACUGAGGUGUUUGACCGGGCCAGCCGGAAACACAAUCACAGUAGUUCUCCCUUUACUACCUUAGCCGAAAAGAUGGAACGUAAGGUAGCAAGCACAGGAGUCGGGCAACCCAACUAUUGACCAAAGACGUGAUUCGGAGCCGAUGCAUAUAAUGAAGUAUUUGGGAUGCCGAAGUAUACUCUAAGAGUGUUCGGACUUUCUAUUGUUGAGAAUAUAUGUGGCCUGACAUAGAGUCCCUGGCUAUUUAAGUCAUACCAAGGUGUAUAUGCCAAUUCGGAUAUAGAGUGGAAAAGUAGAUUAAGAAAUAAUCCAAUACCGAACAAGGUUGGGUGAAACUGUUUCCAGUAUAGUCUGAUUCGUACGUCGAAACGUAUUUUUAUAGGAUAUGCCAUAAGAAUCAAGGCCAUUUUACAUGCUGAGAACAAGGGAAAGCUGUAUGCUGGUCCUGAAUUGAAAAAUAUGAUCUUGAAGAUCCUUUGGACACUCUGCCGCACGUCUGCGCCACUUUUCCCCAUAGUGUAUGGUCCUUUGAGAAAAUCAAUGGUCGAGUGUAUAUGAGGGACAUGGGAAAGGACCCUAAGUACCAUCGAAGAUUGGUGUGGCUUGUAAAGAACCUGAAAAAGAAAAACAAGGAGAAAAGGAAGAAUAUGAGGGUCCGGAUAGGGUCGAACCCUAUUGUGGACCUUAUUUUUAGUAGGCCUCCAUCCUUGCCCAUGGUAUUUUUAGUGCGUAGUUAUGUAAGCGCGGUACAUAUGCCACUAUCAAGUUGGGGUUUUGACGAAGGCUGGAUUGCUAAUCUAGCUCUGGACGAGCCGGACUGUCAUUCUGCAGUGUAGACUGAACUCGUUUGACAGUGUUCGGGGGCUUGACUGCUGAUGUAGUAUUCGACUUAAUGAGGCCACCCUGCACCUCGACUGCGAGGGCCGUGGUAUGCUCCUUAGUACAGAGGGAGUGCUCCAUGUUGCCAUUGACUGUUAUAACACCACGUGGUGCAGGCAUCUUGAGCUUUAGAUAAGUGUAGUGCGGGACUGGAUUGAAACGGGCGAAAGCGGUCCGUCCGAGCAGUGCAUGACAGCUGCUGCGGAAGGGGACAAUGUUGAAGAUCAAGUCUUCUCUACGGAAAUUAUCCGGUGAACCGAAGACUACUCCAGCGUAAUGGAUCCUGUACAACAGGCCUCUACGUCAGCUAUUACUCCUUUAAAGGUAGUUUUAGUGGGCUAGAUCCUUGAUGAGUCUAUACCCAUUUUGCGGACGGUGUCCUAAUAAAGCAGAUUAAGGAUGCUACCGCCAUCCAUGAGGACGCGCGUGAGAUGGAACCCGUCGAUAAUUGGGUCGAGGAUCAAUGCUGCCGAACCUCCAUGACGAAUACUAGUCGGAUGGUCUCUGUGAUCGAAAGUAAUCGGACAGGCUGGCCAUGGAUUGAAUUUUGGGGCGACUGUCUCUAUGGCAUAGACGUCCCCUAGUGUGUGCUUGGGCUCCCUUUUGGGGAUAUGUGUAGCGUAUAUCAUAUUCACCAUUUUUACCUUGGGGGGAAAUUUCUUCUGUCCCCCUGUGUUCGGUGGGCGAGGCUCUUCAUCAUUGUCCUUGCUGGGCGGCCCCUUCCCCUUAUAUUCGGCGGUUAGCUUGCCGACCUGUUUAAAGACCCAACAAUUCCUGUUGGUAUGAUUAGCAGGCUUAUCAGGGGAGCCAUGAAUCUGGCAAGGCCGAUCAAGUAUUCUGUCCAAACUAGAUGGACCAUCAUUGUUUCCUUUGAAUGGCUUCUUUCGCUGACUAGGUUUAGAGCCACUGAAUCCGGCAUUGAUCGACUUUUUUUGGUAUCUUCAUUAUUGCCUCGACGCUUGUGUUUGUUGCGUUGUGGCUUGCUGUUGCCAUCCCUGGCUUCGGAGGUGCCAGGGUCGCUGGUGCUAUUGCUUCUGCGAGCUAAGCAGCUAUCUUCUCUCGCGCAAAAGCAGGUCAUAAGUGCGGUAAGGGCUGCCAUUGACUUCGGUUUUUCUAGGCUGCGGUGUCGGGCGAGCCACUCGUCUUGGACGCUGUGCUUAAAGGCCACGAGGGCUUCGGCGUCUGGACAGUCCACAAUUUGGUUCUUUUUAAUUAAGAAUCCAGUCCAUAGCUUCCGGGCUGAUUCUCCGGGUUGCUGGACUAUGUGACUGAGGUCAUCGGCAUCUGGAGGCUGAACAUAGGUUCCUUGGAAGUUGUCUCUAAAGGCAUCCUCCAAGUCUUCGCAGCUGCCAAUAGAGUUUUGUAGGAGGCUGUUUAACCAGUGCUGUGGUCCCUUUAAUUUUAGCGGGAGGUAUUUGAUGGCAUGGAGAUCAUCACCAUGGGCCAUGUGAAUAUGGAGAAGAAAAUCUUCGGUCCAUACUACGGGAUUUGUAGUACUAUCGUAUGACUCAAUGUUCACGGGUUUAAACCCUUCUGGUGCUCCAUCACCUCAUCGGGUGAUGUCGCGGCGCAGUUCGGAUGAAGUCUGAAUGUGGUUUUCGGCCUGAGUGGGGUUGUGCCUGUCGUGUCAGGCCUGAUGGCCGUCCUCUCGCGUUGGAGCACGCCCCUUUGACCCAUAGAUUGAUCCUGUCUGACCAGCUCUAUUGUCCAGGUCCCUGCGUAGGUCAUAGGUAUGGCCCGAGGCCACUGCCUCCCUUCCUCCACGGCGGGGUGGAGCAGGCUGGUGUUCGGUGCAAGUAGCCGGUCUGUCCCGUCCACGUGCUGGUCGGUCAGGUUCGUCAACGGGUUUAUACUUUGGCGGUAUUGGCUCAAGGGCCUCGUUGUCAAAUUGUGGUAGUAGCUUGCACUUCGGGUAGCUCUUGGUUGGGCACUCGAGGAAAUAUUCCUCGGCUGCCAGGACAUUUGUCCAUCUGUCAUUGAGCGUAUCCUGAUCGGCUUGGAGUUGCCGCUGCUUCUUUUUUAGGCUUCUCGCAAUGGAGAUUAGCUGGCGCUUAAAGCGCUCUUGUUUGUGGGGUUCCUCUGUCACGAUGAAGUCUUUGUCACCGAGCUCAUAUCCUCUUCGGAGAUCGGUAGGUAGUUACUGUCCUACGAGUCCUCGUUCCCGACAGGAUCGUCGGGGUUAACUUUCCCAUCCUCCCAAUCAUCCUUUUUAGAUGUUGGCUUGACAGGGGCUUCGGGGUCUUCGGCAUUCUCUGGAGUGUUAUUGUCUUCGGUGCCGGUAUUGUUGUCUUUUUUGUGACACGGUUUUGAGCGGCACCGCUGACAUCAACGCUUUGUAGGUGCUUCAGCAGGCUUGUCGUCAACCAGAUCCUUCUUGCCGUUGUCGUCAUCCUCUUUGGGUGUGUCUACCAUGUAUACGUCGUAUGUGGAUGUGGCCGUCCAACGUUCGGUAAACGGAGGGUCUUGGCCUUGUUCAUCUCCGGCAUCUUUGUCCAUGUCGUCGAUGUCUUCGGAGGCGUAGUCCAACUUGUCGGUUAAGUCUUCGAUAGUGGCUAUGAAGUGGGUGGUGGGUGGGACAUAAAAUUACCCGCUCUCAGCCCCUAGUCCGGGCUGGGUGUAAUUCGGAAGCGAUUCCUCUGUAAUGGCGAGGGAUCGCAUUAAGUCUAGAGCCUUGUUUAGGAGCGAGGUUUGGACAGGGAAGCAAGAGUCCGUGGGGGCGGCAGGGGUAAGAGCCUCCUGGCCACGCUCGCUUGACCAGACCUCGAGAAUUCAGAUCUGGAGUCCGAGGGGGAGUCCGGCACUUUAGCGACAAGGGGAACGCGGUUCUUCGGGUUUGCCAAUGACGCAGUCCCCUCUAUAUCUCCGGUAGGAAGUUCCAUAAUUGCAGGGAGUCCGGCGGGCUCUAAACUCCCGUGUUUGGACCUGGUAGUCUGCUCUGGAUCUAAGGCCAGACCGGCGGUCAGGGGUGAACCCUUCGAAGAUCAAGUCUCCUUGGAUAUCAGUGACAUAGUUCAGAUUUCCAAAACUGAUCUGAUGACCAGGGGCGUAGCUGUCGAUCUGCUCAAGGCGGCCAGUCGAGUUGGCCUGCAUUGCGAAGCCGCUGAAUAUGAAAAUUUGGCCAGGGAGGGAAGUCUCCCCAGAGACGGCAUAAUUGUGGAUGAUCGAACGAGCCAUCGAACCUUCUAUCAACAUCACAGAGGAACUCUCAAUGAAAGCACCAAUGUCGGUGUCAAAACCGGCCAAUCUCCAGUAGGGGGUCCCGAACUGUGCGUCUGAGGAUCAAAUGUAACAGGAGGCAGGGGACACGAUGUUUACCCAAGUUUGGGCCCUCUUAAUGGAGGUAAUACCCUACUUCCUUCUUGAUUGACUUUGAUGAGUAUAGGGGUUACAAGAGUUGAUAUACCUUGAGAUCAUAAUUGCUAAAUCCUAUAUGUCUAACCUAUAUGAUUAUGAUCGCCUCUACGGACUAAACCCUCCGAUUUAUAUAGACACCGGAAGGGCCUAGGGUUGUACAGAGUCGGUUUACAGAGAAAGGAAUCUUCACAUCCGAACGCCAAGCUUGCCAUCCACGCAAAGGAGAGUCCCAUCUGAACAUGGGGGAAGGCCUUCUAUCUUGUAUCGUCUUGCCCCAUUAGUCUGACCCAUAUCACAUAGCCCGGACGCCCGGGGACCCCCUAAUCCAGGACUCCCUCAAGUGGCCCCCGUUGUAGGGUGUUGCAAUAUGCUCAGGGUUCGCUUAUGGUGGGUUGCGAGAGUGGCAGAAGAUUAAACCCGAGUAGGUGGGCUAUGGGUAUGGGAUAAAUAGGACUUGAUACUUAAUGCUAUGGUUGGGUUUCAUGAUCUUAAUGAUCUUUAGUAGUUGCGGAUGCUUGCUAGAGUUCCAAUCAUAAGUGCAUAUGAUCCAAGUAGAGAAAGUAGGUUAGCUCAUGCCUCUCCCUCAUGUAAAAUUGCAAGAAUGAUUACCGGUACUUGUUAUCGAUUGCCUAGGGGCAAAUAACUUUCUUGUUGACACAAACCCCUUUUCUAAACACCUAACUUUUAUUAUCUUGCAAAGUACUUCUAGUUUUAUUCUUGCAAAGUAGUUCUAGCAUCACACCAACAAAAUAGUUUCAUACUUGUUUUCGAUAAAGCAAACGUCAAGUGUGCGUAGAUUUGAAUCGGUGGUCGACAGAACUUAAGGGAAUACUUGUUCUGCCUUUAGCUCCUCGUUGGAUUCAACACUCUUAUUUAUCAAAGAAGGCUACAAACGAUCCCGUAUACUUGUGGGUUAUCACGAUGGCGCUGGUAUUCACCCUGCGCAAUAACCCAGAGGGCAACGGGCGAUGGGACCAAUACCCCAGAGCGUUUAGGAUGUAGACCGGCAGGGACUUCUCUACUGAGCCUAGGUAGGGCUGCGACGUGUUGAUCUUUCGAGGCUGGGCAUUGACUCAGAAAAGUGUGUCCAGCCAGAGUAAUCAAGCAUGUUGGUUAAUGUGGUUCACCCCUGCAGGGAAGUUAUCUAUUCGAAUACCAUGUCCAUGGUAAUGGACGUUCAGACUUGUAUCCUGAUCUAUUACAACUAGAACUGGUUACUUGAGACAUGUGAUGGAUAUGUUGGCUCCGGGAUUGCUUUCUUGCAAGGAGUCGAGGAAGGGUCUCUGGGCGUUAAUGCUACAACAUGCUUGUUAAAUUAUAAAAUGCUAUUCUUUACUCUUCUACAUGCUGCAAGAUGCUUGGAGUUGCUUGAAGAUGCUAGUCUUUGAUAGGCUAGGCUUUCCCCUCUCUUUUGGCAUUCUGCAGUUCAGUCCACAGAUACAACCCUUCCAUUUGAUACUAAUGCAUACUUAGUAUAGUUCUGAUGUAAGUCUUGUGUGUACUUUUGAUGAGUACUCACGGUUGCUUUGCUACCUCUUUUCUCUCUAUACCCGGUUGUUGCGAUUAGAUGGUGGAGCCCAAAGCCAGAUGCCACCGCCGACGGAUACUACUACAUGGAGACCGCUGACGACCAGGAGUAGUUAGGAGGUCCCAAGCAGGAGGCCUUGCCUCUUCGAUCGUUGUUGCUUUCAUGUUUGCCUUCUUAAGGCAGUCUUGUUAAUUUAUGUUCGUAGUCAGAUAUUGUUGCUUUUGCUGAUGCUUGUGUCUCAAGGUUUUGUAUUCAAGCCCUCAAGGCCCAUGGCUUGUAAUAUGAUGCUUGUAUUAUUUCAAUUUGUGUCUAGAGUUGUGUUGUGAUAUCUUCCCAUGAGUCCCUGAUCUUGAUCGUGCACAUUUGCGUGUAUGAUUCAUGUACGGUCGAAUCGAGGGCGUCACAAGUUGGUAUCAGAGCCGACUGCUUGUAGGAACCCCCUUCCGGCUCCUUGGCUGAAGUUGAGUCUAGUCACUAAAAAACUCUUACUAACAUGGCUAUGUGGCUUAUGGGCCCACAUCGCCAUUGGGUGGUAUUAGGAUCUUUUACUCCUCGACCUUUACUCCGGGACUCUGACCACUCUCCUAUUUGGGUUAAAUUAUUUUGCUAGCUCUACACUAGGUUCUCUUGAUCACAUCCAUCCGGAGGUUUGUAUUACGCCUUUCUUGAAUUGAGGGCCAAGUUUUGCUUCACAUUGUUCACUGACCGCAGGAUCCUCUUAUCGACGGAACCCUAUGUCGGCACUUGAAGAUCCCUCACUCCAGUGAUUUUUUUCCGACGUUGAUGUAGCCUUUCCUAUGUCCCAUUGUUGGAUCCCUCCAUUGCGUGCAUACGUGUCGCCUAGUAUGUCUAUGAUGUUUCUCUUGUCCGAACGCAUACAAACAUGUAAUUGGCCCCGUAUAUGUAUCUGUAUGUCUUCAAUGACUACUGCUUUGUACAUACUGUGCCUUUGCUCACUAUUCAAGUUAUACCAUGAAUGACUCCAUGCACUUGCUCCACCCCUUGCUAAACUACCCCCUGUUGCAUUAAGCAUGAUGGUUAGACCCACUAGUUCUGGUCAUGGUGGCAAUAAUCCACCACCUCCCGAAUACAUGACCGGAAUGAUACAUCAGUUGAGCUGGAUCACCAGCUUAUGGAAAAUGUCAUGGCUCAGUUCCUGCACCCCAAUAUGAAUCAGCAACCAGCCCCAGUAACACUGCAAGACUUUGCAUGCCUCAACCCUGUCAUCUACCGCAGCUCAACUCAGCCCUUUGAUGCUGAUGACUGGCUCCGUGACAUCACUUUCGACUUGGAGUCUGCUGAUGUAGCCCUGCCAACUAUGAUACCUUCGCGGACUAUUACCUGAAAGGUCCCGUUUCUCAAUGGUGGGACAGCCACAUGCGUUCCUUACCUAUUGGAACCGCCAUCACUUGGCUGGAUUUCCAAGAUGCAUUCCGCGAGCCAAUGUCGAACCACCAUGGUUAGUCACAACGUCCCCAUUGAAAUUGAAGGGUUGGAAUUCCAUGUUUCCCCCAUUAUUUCGAAGUCUUCCAAUAUUGACCUCAUUCUGUGUAUGGAAUGGUUGAAAACACAUAUCACUUCUAUCAUUGCGUCACUAAAGCCGUCCGUCUACUACAUCCUUCAAGCAAGAUAGUAAACUACCAUGCUCAUCUUGUUCGAAAUGCUGAAGCACGGAUUCUUCCCCGAAUGUAGUAAAUGCUUCUCCUCUUGUGAGAAUUGAAAACGCUCCAGUCAUUUGUGAAUUCCAAGGUGUCUUUCCCGAAGAACUAUCCAGUUCAUGACCUCGAGCUUGCAGCUGUCAUAUAUGCACUUAAAUAGUGGCGACAUUAAGUUCUUGCUAAUCGUUGCGAGAUCUUCAUCGAUCAUCAAAGUAUGAAGUAAUUGUUUACUCAGCUAGAUCUGGAUCUCCAUCAGCAAUGAUGCAUGGAAACAAUCACGGACUAUGACUACGAUAUUUCUUAUACCCCUGGCAAGGUUAAUAUCAUGGACAAUGCCCUGAGUCGCAAGUCUUAUUGUAACAACAACAUGGCUUAUAAAGCUCAACCCCUGCAAGAUGAUCUCACUUACAGAGAGCAUUCGAUCUGCGUUCUCAUUCUAACUGAAUGUCACGCCCAUCUAAGGGCUAUCAAAUUUCUAAGGGGUUCAAUGGUCAAAUCAUUCUGAAGAUGAAGCCACUUGGGAACGCGAGGAUCGUCUUCGUGAUGAAUACCCCGUUUUGUUUGCGUCUACCUCCUAAAAUCUCGGGACGAGAUUUCUUGUAGUGGAGGAGAAUUGCGACGCCCGGAUAAUUAAGCUACAGUGAUCCCAAUGUAACAGUGCCAUGUCAUCGCUUUCACUGUUGCUAAUCCCCCCUUUUAUUCCAUCUGAUUCAAAUUCAAAUUUUAAAAUGAAGUCUAAUAAAUGAUUCCUUCAAACAGUAAAACUAAAAUGUUCACAAUGUUCUAUAAUUCCCCCUGAUCAUUUUCAUGUUGAACCCAACAUUAUUGAAACUCCAAAAAUGCCCCUAGAGAAUUAAAGCAUGUCCGAACAUCACUUAAUUGAACCAUUUAUAUACAAACCUAAUUUGAGUAAAUUCAAACAGGCUCCAAACUUUUGUGGCAAUACUAGAUUUUGCCUAGUAAUUAUUCUGGCCAUUAGAACUUUUUGCAAAAAG